CUUACAGGAAGAAAAAGAAGAAGAAGAAGAAGAGGGGAAAAAAAAAAAGCGUGCUCCAGCAGGAGGAAGAAGAAGAAGAAAAAGAAAAAGAGAAGAAAAAAUUGCUCCGCCUGGCCUUCGCUUUUUUUUUUUCCGGCGGAAAAAAAAAAGAACGAGAGAACGAAGAGGAGAGAGAAAGAGGAAAGAGAAAAAGUAAUAAGGGUAUUUUGGUCAGUUUGCUGAAAAAGCCGACCGAAUCUGCAAAAACGAAAAAGGUGGCCCGGUUUUGCAAAAGCCCAAAAUAAGUGGAUUUUUUAUGCAAAUUGGCCAUAUUUUUUCUACAGUUUAACUUUUAAUUUAUUUUUAUUUUUUUGUUCCACUCUAGUAAAAUUUUUUACUUUUAAAAGAAUAGAUGGCAAAUUUUGCAUCUGUAACGACCCAGCCUACUAGUAAUAAUUACUCGUUGGGCCCAAACACCGGCUCAAAAUGUUUAAGUUCAGUUAUUAUUACGAAUGUCUAAAACUUAGUUUCGUAUUGAGGCCUAUCUAACGCUAUUAGAUAAAAUGGAGUUGAGGAAAAAGCAUAUAGGAAUAUGCUUUUACGUUCUCCGAUAGGACCGCAGAAAAUAUAUCAUAAUCAACUCAUCACGAUAUGCGGAACACAAUAUUACGUACGGAACACAAACAUAGUAUUUUUUCAACGUACUUUCUCACGUAAUGCAAUCUCUCCGCAAUCCCAAACAAAGCCUAAGUCUCUUAUAUACCCAAUCACAUUUUCAUUCCUCUCCGAUAUGAGAUUAUUGGGGUGUGACAAACUUCUCCCGUUAAGGCCAACCUUGUCAUCCAAAAUCUGGCAUAGCCGGUCAUCUUGUCAUUCAGACUCCGUCAUCGCCUAUCACUUUAUCUUUCAGACCCUAACUCAGCCGAAACUCGCCACAUAAUUCUGACCGGUGAACCGACUCUGAUACCAAAUAUAACGACCUAACCCACUAGCAACAAUAACUCGUUUGGCCCAAACACCGGCCCAAAAUAUUUAAACUCAGUUAUUAUUAUUAGUGUCUAAGUCUCUUAUAUACCCAAUCGCGUUCUCAUUUUUAUCCAAUGUGAGAUUAUUGGGGUAUGACAGCACCAUUAAAAUCCCUUUUCAGUUUACUUCUCAGCCCAUUCCAAAUCUAAUGGUUUGUAUAUCUAUAAUAGGGUUAAUUGCAUAUAACUUUCUGUAAACAUAUCGAAUAACUGAUAUAUUCCGAUAAAGUUUAACUUUUUAUUUUUAUCCCUAUAAAAUGUAAGGAAAAUUUUAAAAUAAUAUAUUUUGUUUAUUGUUUUUAGUGAAUGGAUGUGAUUCUUCGUGAAAGGAUGCAAUCCUUAGUAAAUGGAUGCAACUCUUAGUGAAUGGAUGCAACCCUUAGUGAGUGGAUGCAACUCUAAUCAAAAGGUAUGACUCUUAGAGUGAAAGGAUGUGACUUUUAGUGAAAGAAUAUGAUAUGAAAAGACACAUCUUUAUAGUGUGUCUCUUCGUACAUAUGCCCGUUGGAAUCAAUGGUUAUAUUCAUUGAACUUGAUUCAUAUAACUAUUUGGUAGUUAUGAUCAAAUGAAAAGUCACAAUCGAAAGGUCACUUCACGAAACACCUAUUCAUGAAUAGUCACUUCACGAAACACCCUUUCGUGAAUAGUCACUUCAUGAAGCACCCGUUCGUGGCCUAUAUAAGUCCAUAGCAUUGGUUGCAGAAGGAUACAGACAGAAAACAGUUGAAGAGUUGAAGUCUUCAUUCAUAAUAAUUCCAUUCUUGUUUUAUAUUCUAUUUCUUUUGACAACUUAAUCGAGUGAGUGCUCAAAGGCUCGACUUCGUGUGUGCAAACGCAGUUGAGGUUUACGCUUCAUUGUAUCCUGGGAGGUUGUUCGUUGACCCGGUGCACACCAAAUUGUUAGAACGGUGGGGACGGAUUAAGCCUUAAGGAAAAUGGCAUUGCUACACGCCUUGAAGCCUUUUAAUUUUUCUAUUUCAUACCUUUAUCACAAACUGUUCCAACAUAUGUAGCUAUACACUCAAUGGACAUCGCACACGCGUCUCGUUGAGCCAUUAUCGGAUAAUGUUUAUCUUAAUCUCCUUGUCGUAAAUCUACAUAACACCUUUUGAAGAAACAACUAUUGUUUAUUCACUUAUCUCCGAGAUCCUAAUCAUGCUUAAUUUUGUUGUUUACAUGAUUAGAUUAGUGCAAAAAUCAUAUGAUUACGAUCGACGUGAGUGCGCGACAUGUUCUAGGGAGGAUAAAUAGUAUUUUUAUUGAUGAUGUGUGUGUUUUUUGGGGGGGAUCAAGUAGAUCAGUAAUAAUCUGUUUAAUUAGAUGCCUCAUAAUUAAGCAAGUGUUAGUUAGUAGCUUAUCAAAUUAAAGGCUUUUAAUAACUUGUUUUGAGAAUAACAGCUGUUUGGUAAUUAAGUUAAUUAAGACCACGUGAGGACUUAAUUAAAUUUGUUUUAAAAAAAAAUUUGAAUAUAAGUGAACAUAAUUAAUUAUCAAAUAUGGUACAUACUUUAUAUAUACCUGUAACUUAAGGAAUUUUAGAGUUAAUAGUUACAAUAUAUUCUACUUAAUGUGCAAACACUAUUGGUUUAUAAUAUUUUGGAAUCUUAGUUAUUUGUGGACUCUUUGCCCUUGUUCUAUCAAUUAAUAGGGUUUUUUCCUUUAUAAAAAUUUCCUUUUUAAUUAUUUUUCUAAGGAUUGAUAUUAAAAUUUGAACAUAAUGAGAUUUCACUAACCUCUAUGCUAAUAAACUUACUUAAAAUAUAAUAAUACGAUAUUGAAAUUAAUGAUUAGCUCUGUUAAACAUGAUUUAAGAUAUCUAAACUUCCUAGGAAUUGGAUUCUAAAAUGACAAUUAAUUUUAGCGACUAAUAUGGGUAGUUUAAUUUUUUGUACUUUUCGUAGAAAUUUUUUAAGCUAACUAGACUAAUUAAGUUCUACAAUCAUGAUCUUAAGGUUAAUUAAGAAUCCUAUACUUAACUUCUAAUGAGAAAGUUGUACAAUUUUGACCACUCAUUCGUAACUACAUGCACUACAACAAAAUCAUCUUUUAGCGGCAAUUUAGUAGCGGCGAUUAUCGAACGGCCGUUAAUUCUUUUUAUAACUUAUGUUUUAGCGGCAAUUAUUUUAAAUAGCUGUUAAUUUUAUAUUAAAUAUAUUUAUUUGAGCAAUAUAAUCCUAACCCUAAAUCUAAUUCGAACCCANGAUUGUGUUUUGAAAUUUUGUAUCGAAAUAUCUAUAUGGCAUGAAUGUACGUACUUUGAUUGUAUUUGAUUAUGUUUUGAAAAUUUGAUUUUACUAUAAUAUAUUUUAAAAUAUGGUAAAAAAGAAGUCAUUAUUUUGGAUUUGGGUUUUCGGGUUCGGGUUUUCGGGUUCGGGUUCGGGUUUCGGGUAUUUGGUCGGGGCCGGGUAUGGGUAUGGAUUUUUUAAACCCGUCGGGUUCGGGUUCGGAUUCGGGUAUGAACUUGGUAUUCGGGUUCGGGUUCAGAUUUUUAAAAAUCCGACCCAUAUCCGACCCGUUGACAUCCCUAAGCGGGAUGCAAUUAACUCUUAUUUUUAUUAACUUGGGUUUGUUCAACACGCGUGACUCUAUAAAAGGAACUUGCAUGCUGGGUGCUAUUUGCGGCACUCUGGAGUCAUCAGUCAGUGAAAUAAGUUAGUGGUUAUGAUGUCCUAAAAAAGUGUGGGCCACGUGAAUUUAUUUGAUUCUAAUAAAUAUGCCUUCCAUUUUGAUGGUUGGAGUCCUCAAGUGUUUAUUUAUGAUGUCCCAAUUACUUGCGGUUUAACAAACAAGUUUGAUAGAGAUUCUUUGUAGAAUCCUUGGCAUUUAUGAGAGGCAAUAUCAUCGCAUGUGAAGAGGGAAAACAAGUUAUAACAAGUUUGCUAGAGAUUCUUUGUAGAAUCCUUGACAUUUAUGAGAGGCCAUAUCAUAGCACGUGAAGAGGGAAAAAAAUGUUAUACCUGUAAUUUACAUCAACAUCUAGCUAGCUAGAAUCAUUUCUUUUGAAGAAAAGGUUGGUUUUGAGGUUUCAAAUAAAAAAUAAUCUACUUUAUUAUUGGUAGACCCAUAAAACAGUCAAUUUUAAAAAUAUUUUAUUUGUAUUAUAUGAUAAAUCCAUAUAACACUUAAUUUAGACAAGUAAAACUGUAUUAUUAUAUAUGAAUUAACCAACCAAAAGUUUUCACAAGUGCAAACAAUGAUUUAAUUUAUAAGAAAGUUUUUUUUUUAUAAUAAGUAUAAAUACCACAAUAUUAAACUAAUAUAAAAAAUAAUAUAUAUUUUUUGCUUUUGUACUUUAGACGACAAGAUAAAUGUGAUAUCAGAACUCUACUAGGAAAGAAACUAACCGAAUCUAAAAUAUCUCUAGAUCUAGUUUUAGUAGAAAUAACUGUAAUGGACUCAUCAAUCUAACUCAAAAUAGAAAAAAUAGAGAAGUUUUUCAAGAACUGUCUAGAAGAAUAAAUUUGGAGACCAAAACAAUUAAAAUUAGGUCCUAAACUAGGUCGUUGCCAAUCAGCGCGUAGAUCUGACAAAAGUUAUUUUCGAAUUGGGACUAUAAGUCGAAAAUAGACACAUAUGAAAAGUUAUGAUAGUUUACAAAAAAAAAAAUUGGACCAGUUGUAGAAUUUGCAUAAUUUUCGGCUUAACUUGAUUAGGUCAAACUUCUCUAUAAAUUCUAAUGCAAUAUUAACUGAUCACUAGCUAGCUUUUAUCUUAAUCCCUCUACAUGGCUAACUAAUAGGGUUUUAGCUUAGCUUAAUUAGCAGGCAACCUGUUGCCUAUAAAUAGGAGAAUUGUUGAGAGCUCUCUUCCUCACUCCACAGCAAGAAAAUCCACAGCUCACACUGAUUCUCCUAUUUCUUCUACUACAGUAAUGACUUUCUUCCCAAACAACAUUGCUUUCAUUUCAUAUCUCUUCCUUCUUAUAUUUUCGACUCUUCUUUAUCAUUCUUCAUCAGCUCUUCAUGGCAACAGAGGUACCGAUAAUGCGGUUAUUAAUUAAUUCGCUGAAUUUAUUUUUUUUACUUAGCAAAAUCAAUUUGCUUCUUAUUUAAUAGUGUCAUUUUGGUGCAGUAAAUUUACCGUUAGAAUUUAUGAAAAAAACGUGACUUAAUCAAGUUGGGUCGAAAAUUCUGUUAAAUUUGAUAAAUUUAUAAUUUGUGCGGCCUACACUUACAUCAUAUAUUAAUACUCUUGUGUAAGUUUAUAUAUUUAUGUUGAUGUUUUAGUUAUUAAAAAGCAUAACUAUCAUUUUCGAAAAAGAGAGAAAGAAAUAGCAAUAUAAUACGUAGCAAUGAAUUAAUUAUUUAUGCUACAUUCUUUUAUGUUGUUACGUGUCACAGUACGUACAAAUGUACAAGUACCCCUUCAAUCAUAAGCUGUUUUACAAAAUAAAUGUUGCUCAACCAUUUCUAACUUUUUUUUAUUUUAAGACCAGCGAACUUCAGAUUCUUUUGAAUUAAGUUAUCUUUAUAAAUUAAAUUUAUAUUUUUUUUAUUAAAUUCAGUAAGUAUUAUGUGCACUUCAGAUUCUUUUGAAUUAAGCUAUCUUUAUAAAUUAUUUUUUUUUAUAAUUUUUUAUUAAACUCAGUAAUUAUUGUGUGCACUUGCCUAUUCGGAUGCUUGCAAAUCUGAUGAAUGCUGCAUAUUUUAUUAAUUGGUGUAAUAAGUUUUUUGAUUUAAUUUAAUGGGUAAUGAUCUUAUCUUAUUUUAUUUUUUCAGCAGAACUUAAAGCAGUAAAUUAAGAAUGUUUUCGCCUCUUUUUUCCCCUUCUUUUUGUUCCUAUUCUAACAACAAUUUUAAUUUUUUUAUCUUCGUCGAAUAUUUCUAAUGCGCUACGUUAUUUCUAAAAACUAAAAUAAUUGAGGGGCCAAACAGGUCUUAACAAAGUUGCUUGAUUGGCGGGUGCUAUGCCCUUUGACAACCACGUUUGAUCCAUUCAGUUUAGAGCUCAAUCCAUUCCGAAUCUAAUAUGUUAUAUAUACCAAUGAUUUUAAAGUGACUCUCAAUAUAUAUUAUAUCGACAAUGAACAAGAAUGCAACGGAAUCAAAGUGACAAAAAAUAAAAUAAAAUAAAAUCUGCGUUCUAUCUAUGUGGUGCGAUCUUUGUAUUGCUAGAUUCCAUCUUAAUUAAUUCCUCUAAAUAUAUAUAUCCAUGCAUGGCUUAUAAUCAAUAGGAGAUUAUCUUAGUUUGUAGCUUCUUUAAAUUGUGUAAUAUGGUUUUCUUUUGCUUAGAUUAAUUAGCAUGCCCUUAUAAAUAGAUCCUUUUGUUUUUCAAUUUCAUUCGACACAUAUCCGCAACCUCUAUCUUCGAAGGCACCCGAACUAAACCCCACACAACAUGAGAGUCAAAGAAGCCUUAUUAUUUUCACAUGAUAUGUUUUGAAUCCAUUAAUUCCUGACCACUAAGGUAAAGGAAACAAAAAUUUAAUAGGAAUAGUCCCUAAUGUGAGACAUGCAAUCACAUCCACACGGACUAUUUUCACUGAAUUUUUGUUAGGUAAAGGUGAAUAGAUAGAGUUUUAUCGUGCACUCCACAGCAGCAAGACAAAGCAAUUAAUCAUGCAGUCGCACGUUCCCUCACUCACCAUGGCCUCUUGGUUUUUUUUUUUUUUUUUUUUUUUUCCUAUUCUUUUGAUCUUUCUCCUGCAACCUGAUUACAACUUUGCCAAUUAUCUUUCUCGUAAUAGCUCAAAGCAACAAGCACAAUAUUUAUAUAUGCUGCUAACGAUUCUUGCGCUCGUCAAGAAAUAAAAUUAACCUCUAUAUAUAUACGCUAGCUGCUAAGGAAUCAAGCUGAUCAUUUUAGUAUUCGUUCUGCCACAGAUUCAAAGCUGUUCCAGCUAAACGUCGUCCACCGGGACAGCCCGUACUCGCCACUCGCUACAGAGAGAAAACUGUCACUGGAACAAAUCCUGAAGAGCGACAAAGUUCGGGUCGACUCAUUAAUUUCAACGACUUACGUCCAUCAGGUCAAAAAUGGAUGAUGUAGGAGGCUCGUCUGAGGUGUCGACCAUUCCUGCCUACUCUGGAUCAUUACUUCGCACUGACAGUUAUGUCAUAACCGUCGGCAUCGGAACUCCGAAAAAAGAUUUCACCGUGAUGUUCGACACCGGUAGCGAUCUGUCAUGGAUUCUCUGCACAACGUGCAUAGAAUGUGAAGCACCCGAGAAACUAUUAUUCGACGCAAUAUAUAGAAUCAUCGACUUACAGCAGCAUCCGGUGCAACUCGGAUGAGUGCUCCCAGCUCGUCGUCUCAUGCAUCCAACUGCACUUGUGCUGAUCAGUCAAAUACCUGCAGCUUUGUAAUCUUGGACAUUGAUGAGGUAAGCACGAAGGAAGGGCAAUCUCAUUCGAGACACACUUACUUUAACACCUUCCGCCGUGUUACCGAACUUUGUGUUCGGCUGCAGCGAUGGCGACAUCGGGGGCGACUUGACCACUGGCUUGAUCGGCCUAGGCCGUGGAAAGGCCUCGCUGUUCUCACAAGCAUCAGAAAAAUUCGGCAAGAUCUUUUCCUACUGCCUUCCUUCGUCGCCAAACUCCAUGGGCUACCUGGCCAUCGGUCGCACGGGCUUGCCGCCGCAUGUAAUGUACACACCAAUGCUAACGACGCCAACCUGGCCAUCAUUAUACUUCGUCGGACUAGCUGCAAUCAAAGUCGCCGACAAGACGCUUCCUCUGCCACCGACUGUCUACUCGAGGACGGUCAUCGACUCCGGUACUGUAAUCACGAGACUCCCGCCGAUGGCCUACUCCACCCUCCGCUCAGAGUUUCGCAAGUACAUGACAGACUACACGCCGGUGCCGCCAAUGUUUGACCUGGACGCGUGCGACGACGUGAGUCGCCACGAGAAUCUGAAAGUGCCGACGGUCGAGCUGCUGUUCGAUGACGGCGCAAGCCUUACUUUGGACUUCGACGGGACGAUGAUCAUGAAGGACGAUUACAAGGCUUGUCUGGCUUUCGCAGUUAAUAAUGAUACUGGCAUAAACAUAAUCGGAAAUAACCAACAAAAGAAGUACACGGUGGUGUACGAUGUAGCCAAUGCAAAGAUUGGGGUUGGCGCCGGAGGUUGUGAUUAAUUAUUAAAUAAUUCAGCAUAUUAAUUAGGUGUUCCGAAUCUUAUCUAUUAAGAAGCUGGCUAGGCUAAUUAUGACGGUAAGAAAUAGAAUGCGAGGCCAAUUGUUUGAUCACAGGAUUAGUCAAGCAUGUGUGCUUGGCUUAGUUAAUUAUAUAUCAAAGCGAUGUGGCUUAAUUAGUUAAUUGUAUAUCGAAUUGAGUAGUGUGUGUGUGUGUGUGUGUGUGUGUGUGUGUAGAGAGAGAGAUUAAUUUUCUGCAUGACUUCUGAAAUUAAUUAUCAAAGAGAUUUUUUUCCAUAGCUUUUAUUUUUCAAAUAAAAAAAGAAAACGCUAUUUUCCCAUGAAAUCUGAAUUUUUUUUUUUUUUUUUUUUUUUUUUGGAAAUAUGAAUGACCCUUUGCCUUGACCUGGUCUACAGAAUGGGCCAUACUCCAGCAAUAACAAUAAUUAAUCUCUUUGAUAAUUGGGAAUUAUAAGAAUUACAAACUCUUUUACUUGCAAGCUUAAUAUUAGUUUAUUAUUUAAUAAUUUUUUUAAAAAAAUAAACUCUUUUAUAGCAAAAUUAUAACUAUUGAAUUAAAUAAUGAAUGUAAUGGUGGAACCUUUUUGGGUUGUAGACUUCAUUUUCUCUUUCUCUUUGUAUUGACUUGAGUGACCUUGUCGUCUCUUUCUUGGACGCGUCCGAAAUGACCAACAUAUUCCUUGCUAUGUUGACGGUUGUAUAUCACGUCUCCCUCUCUACUCACACUUUCUAACUCUUCCCCCUAAAAAAUUAAAAAAUAAAAUAAAAAAUUAUAUGGACAUGAUUCACCAUAGACCAACCCAUUCCAAGUUUCCAACUCCAUUCAUCAUUUCUACGUUUAUUCCCAUCUAAUUCAAUAAAUCAAAACAGUUUCAUAUUUACACAUUAUUUCUUUUUGAUGAGUAGAUUUUGAAAUAAAGGAUUAAUCUCAAAGAAGAGCGCAAUGCACUUCUUGACUAGCUAAGAAGUUCUUUUGGGUGGCCUUUGAGGAUUUUAUUCCGCUGCAGCAUCUCUAUGGAGAUGUCGAAGCGCAGAUCCUCAGAAUCUACAAUGUCCACCACAAUUCUGCCUAUUGUGAUGUUUCAAUUUAUACCUAAUUUUCUAUGUUUGUCAAAUUCUCUCCAUGUAAAUAUAUAUAGCGAAAAAAGUGGUGAUUCAGAAAUUAAGGCGCGGCAACUAGGGAGUUUUUAAUUGUUCGAGAUCACUAAUAAUAUUUUGUCACAAGUCAUUUAAGAGAUUUAGUACUCCAAGGAAGCAUGCACAGUACUGGUUUAGUUUUUUGCCAACGCGUUGGCUGUUUAGUAUUUAAUUAACGCCGCUAAUUGGUUAGUUUGGAACGAUCAUCCGUUUCACUAGCACAUGUUUCACCCCACCGGACUAACUUAAUUUCCGCCUCAGAAACAUAAAUAAAUAAGAAAAAGAAAUACUUGUUGUCAGUUCACAGAUUUUAAUUUAAUAAGUUACACUCCAAGGUUGCCUGCCUGUACACGGCCGGCCGGAAACGUUUUCACGAAACCAGUUAUAUAAAUUUUGGCUUCCAUCAAAUUAAGUGCGAGCGAGCGGCGGGAGCAUCAAGCUAUAGCCAUGAAGACAUUACAAGUCCUUUCGUACCCUCCUUUUGCUCGUAAGCUGCGCGGUGAUGCUGGCCUCGGAAUCGGAAGCGAAACACAUCUUCUGGCAUAGCACCUUCAGGUAUCCCUGGUGGAACAACGGGAUGCCGCUGUGGACAGGGUAUUUGGUGAAUCCACGGUUGAUACAUCCACGCGCACCAGCUGCUCCAGAACAUCCCUACUGCUGGUACCGUCUCAGACGGACAAUCCAGUGUGUCACUCCAUCUUCCAGUUCUUCUAUGGAAAAAUACAGACGCUCAGCCCAGAAUGCUGCUACCAUGUGAAGAUGAUCAGAGACGAGCGCCGAAUCGGUGUUCACUCGCUUCGCUGAUGGCUUUGACAAACAAAAUCAAGUCCCAUUGUGCUUUGUCCGCUCCAGCCCCAGCUCCACAUUGAAAACACUUGCUGGUCAUACCAAUCAAGUUAACGUAUCUAGCUUGGGGUUUACUAGAGAAGUUGAUUUUCAAGAAAUAGCAAUCAACUAUUAUGCUAGUAUAAUACGAAAAGAUAAAAAUAGUAAAAGGGUUAUAUCCAAUGAUGGUAAAGUAGCACAAAAUGCUUAUCACAAAGGUGCUUUACCUAACGAUCCUUAGAUACAUGCACAAAUCACAAUGAUAGGCCCAACCUUUUCAGUAACCACUAUUUUUUUUACUUAUGAUACAAUGAUCAAAAUAGUAAAUUCAAGAACUAAAAAAUUAUUAGUACUAAGACCUUAGUGCUUUUAAAAAUGCUAAUGAUAUAUCUCUUACGGGUGAUGAAUAUUUCUCACUAAUAACACUUACUAGUGAUAGAUAUAUAUCUUACACUUCCUAUCUCAAAAUUGAGACAUUCCUUUUAGAAUUUUAAUAAAAAAUAAGCAGAUUAUAGUAAAAAAAAGGGUGUAAGGUCUAUUUAUUGGCGGAGCUAAGAGAUAUACUUUAAGCUAGCCAUGCACAACAGUAUUCUCAACUAGCAUGUGUCCUUACAUAGGAUUCACUAGGAGCUUAUUCUCUUCUUCAACAGGGUACUCUAUAAAACUGGUUAGGAAUAAAAAGAUGCAACUUAUUCUUGCAACUAGUAAAGGAAUAAUAAAGAUGCAACUUAUUCUUGCAACUCGUAAAAAAACAUGAACCACAAGAAGCCUGUAAAAAUGAUGAGGAAUAGUAAAGAUGCAACUUAGUCUUGCAACUAGUUAAAAGACAUGCCUACUAGUGUAUGAUUUAUACCUAAAAAUAGUGCGUACUGCUCUCGUACAUUUAUAUACAACAACAUAAAUGAUCCAAAAUAAGACAGUUAAUCUUGUGUUAGCUGCAGUGGCUGCCAUGGAUCACUUUGCAGCAGCACAAGCAAACCCAAUAAGAGCAACAAAAAAGCAACGCCAGUGAAGAUCUAGCAGGAAUGUAGGACAUCCAUUUAAGUAACACGAGAGUAUGGAAGCAUAGUAGAGAAACCACCAACUAAACUCACUCUUAAGGAACAUAGUGUCUAAGCACAUUCAAACAAAACAAUAGACAGCGAGGCCCCUAUUGCAGGCUAAAGCGAAGCUGACCUCAUCCAACAUAGAUAUGUAAAACUAAAGAUCCAAAAUCGUCACAUCUAAGAUAACAAGUCAUUAAAAUUUAGAACUGACUAUUAGGCAAUAAAGUAAAGCAGUAGAUUCUUAGUCAACUUCCUCCAUCUUGCUCUCCCCAGCAUCAUCCUCCAGGGGGGGCAUGUCGGUGUCCUCAUUGGCCACCUCUUCCUCAUCAAUGCUGAGACCCAACUUCAGCAUGCGGUGUAUCCUGUUGCCAAAGGUGUUGGGGUCAUCGAGGCUGAAGCCAGAGGUAAGGAGGGCAGUCUCGAACAGCAGCAUCACAAGGUCUUUCACCGACUUGUCAUUCUUGUCAGCAUCAGCCCUCUUCCUCAGCUCCUCCAUGAUGGGGUUCUCCGGGUUGAUCUCCAUAGUCUUCUUGCUUGACAUGUACCCAGCCAUGCUCGAGUCCCUCAGCGCCUGCGCCUUCAUGAUCCUCUCCAUGUUGGCCGUCCACCCGUACUCCCCAGUCACCAAGCAGCAUGGAGAGUCGACUACACGAUCAGACACCACAACCUUCUCCACCCUGUCACCAAGCACCUCCUUGAUCACCUUGCAUAGCCCCUCAAACUUUUCCUUGAGGGCUUCUUGCUUCUUCUUCUCAUCUUCGCUCUCGUCGAGCUUGAGACCUUCCUUGGUUGCAGACACCAACUUCUUCCCUUCAAACUCCUUCAGCUGGCCCACUGCGUACUCAUCGAUAGCAUCAACCAUGAAGAGGACCUCGUAGCCCUUCUUCUUCAGCUUCUCUAGAAAGGGGGAGUUCUCGACAGCCUUCUUGCUCUCACCAGUGAUGUAGUAGAUGUCGUUCUGGCCCUCCUUCAUCCUUGUGACAUAGUCCUUGAGGCUGGUCAUCUCAUCACCACUCUUGGUGGAAUGGAACCUCAGCAGCUCCGCGAGCUUCGACCUGUUUUGGGCGUCCUCAUGGAUGCCAAGUUUGAGGUUCUUGGAGAACGCCUCAUAGAACUUGUUGUAGUCCUCCUUGUUCUCGGCAAUCUCAAAGAAGAGCUCAACGCACUUCUUGACUAAGUUCUUGCGGAUGACCUUGAGGAUUUUAUUCUGCUGCAGCGUCUCUCUGGAGAUGUUAAGGGGCAGAUCCUCGGAAUCAACAAUACCCUUAACGAAGCUCAGGUACUCUGGCAUCAGCUCUUCACAGUUGUCCAUGAUGAAGACACGGCGGACAUAGAGCUUGAUGUUGUUGAGCUUCUUCCUCGUGUCAAAGAGGUCAAACGGAGCCCUUUUGGGAACAAAGAGGACAGCCUUGAACUCGAGCUGGCCCUCCACAGAGAAGUGCUUGACUGCAAGGUGCUCCUCCCAGUCAUUGGUCAGACUCUUGUAGAAGGCAGCAUACUCUUCCUUGGUAAUCUCCUCAGGCUUCCUCAUCCAGAUGGGCUUCUGCUUGUUGACCAGGGACCAUUCAUGGGACACUUCCUUGAUCUUCUUCUUUUUCUUCUCUUUCUCUUCCUUCUCCUCAUCAACAUCCUCGACCUUGCCUUCCUCAGUAUCCUUCUUGUCCUCCUCAUCCUCAUCAUCAGAGAUUUCCUUCUCAGUGGUCUUCUCAACCCAUAGGGAGAUGGGGUAGCUAAUGAACUCGGAGUGCUUCUUGAUCAGAUCCUUAAGACGGCGCUCCUCAAGGUAUUCCAACUGCAACCCCAACAAACAGACAUAAAUAUUAGGCUGAAUUGUUCUAUAACACUUCUUUAGAUUGGCCACCACGUGACACAUGGCAGUGCAAAAGGCAGAAUUCUAUUGGUCAGCAUAUUAAGACGAAAGGAAACAAAUGGCCCAUCAGUACACAAGUAUGAUAAACUUAAUACUAAAGAAUAAUUACCAUGAUCAAUAAUUCUUUGGUAUAUGAGGAAAAUGGGAUCAAAGAGUCAUGCCCUGGAAUUUCAGAUUCAAAGGUGGGGGCAAAACAAAUUACUGAAUUUCGCAGAAAGUAACUCUAGCAUUACAGAAAGGAAAAAAUACGAAGGAUGCUUUUACAGCUUCCAAUAGAAAUAAACUCCAAUUGAUUGCAUACCUUUUACUACAAAUAUGAGUCAAAUGACUAGUUUUAUAGCAUUUGGGCAUACCAUUUUAACAUUCCUUGUUAAUAGAAUUUUCUUGAAUUCUUUCAACCCAACCAUUAAAUGACCCAAUUUUCAUCCUACAAUAAUACGCUAAAAAUGUUUGAACAACUCAAUAAAAGUAAAACUUCCUCGUUUAAGUCUAGAAGGAUUAACUAAAAUUCUAAAUAGUGAAAUAGGAACUGAAAUCUUAAACAGAUAAUCAGAAGGUUAAGAAGAUAAUCAGAAGGUUAAGACCAAACAAAGCACACAAGAAGGCUAACUAUUGUGAUCGACACAUUAGUAACCAAGUGAAAGUUGUAGGCCUUACUAUUUCCAAGUAAAAAUUACAAGCAAGAUUAAUCAAUGAAUUAAAAAAAAUGUCAAUAUGAGAAAGAUCAACUAAGCCUCAAGAAUUGUCAAAGAAUAAGAGAUGGCAACUAAAGAAAACUUAGGACAUGUCCUCUGAAUUUCUACCAAGAAUAUUAUCAGAUAACCAAUCAAAGACGAUUGAAAACACACAAUUGAGGCCACCAAAUACACAAGAAAAUGACGCAAGAAACGCAUCAACUUAUGAUGCAUCAGAAUGUAAAAUGUAUAUAUACUAUCAAUAGGCACUACUUUAGAAAUGCUUUAUCGAGACACAUCAAAUAUAAUGCUCUAGAGGACCAUAAAAAUCCUAAAAGCUUUAGAGCUUCCCCUCCCCUAAUUCUUUAAAAUUAAAAUAAAUCAGCCUGAAAGUGCUGUUGGAUUUUCAAGCCCCCUAAAUAUGUGUGGUCAAUGCAAUCACAAACUAGGCCUAAAUAUAUUUAAAUUGUAAAAUGGUGAAAGCACAAUAAAAGGAAUAUAUUGCAAAGUCUACACAAUCAGUGAUCAUAAUUUUGAGAUAAUCCCUCUUGAGAUGGCAACAUUCCAAUAUUUAAAUAAUUAUGAACGCAUACAACAUGCAAUUGACUAGCAGGAGAAAAAAACAGGGGGGCAAAUAUACAAAGAGACCCCAUAGGCAUGCAAUAAUUAAAUAGUAACUCAAGAGUUCUAUAUGUGAAUUAUAAAAUAUUUAGGAAAGUGCACCUGCUAUUUGCUAACAACACAACCAACAAAGCUAGCAAGUCAAAAACUAAAAAGUAAAAGUAACUUGCGUAUCGCUAAUUAUAUGCUAUCAUUAUCUAAGAAGUUCGAAAAAGGAAAAUCAAAAUCACAAAUGCAGGACCAUCUUCAACUCAUACAAAAAUACUAGCCUAAUAACAAGUCAGCAACCUAUGUGAAAAAAGGAUACAAAAUAAAAAAUGAUGCAUCACCAAAUAAGAACAUGAACUACAUGCCCAAAGUGGCAAGGAGAUAUACUAUAUCUCCAAUCUAGACUUUUCCCAUUAACUAUGCCACAUGGUAGCUUUGACGACAAUGUAAGGUCUAAUGCCACACAACAAUAAGAUGCAAAACACAGCACAUCAGCUCAUCAAAACAUCAUGUGUAAAUUCUCUAUUUAACACCAGAAAUCACAAGAUCCUUAGAUCAAGGAACACCAUUCUAUGAAAAUAUAAUUAAGCAGGACAUGAACUAACAAAUCAACUUGAACAAAAGCCAGAUGAGUAACUUAACAAAUCAACUAGAACAAACGCCAGACUAGUAACUAAAUAGGAACGAAGAGAGCAAUAACUCAAAGUCCCAGUGAUAAACAACUGCUGCAUUAACAGAAAUAAGAGAGCUUACAACGAACAAUUCAUCAACCACAGGAAAGCUAUAACACAAAAUCACUCAUAAAAUCAAACCAAAACUAAAUUAGGGUUUUACUGCUAUACCUGAUCUUCCUUGAGGAAGAGGGUGAUCUUGGUUCCCCUCCCAAGGUUCUCUCCCGAGGUAUCCCUAGUAACAGUGAAGGAUCCUCCGGCCUGCGACUCCCACACGUACUGCUCAUCAUCAUUGUGCUUGGCGGUCACGACGACCCUUUCGGCGACAAGGUAGGCCGAGUAGAAGCCAACACCGAAUUGACCGAUCAUACUAACAUCGGCACCAGCGGCGAGCGCCUCCAUGAACUCCUUCGUCCCCGAUCUAGCGAUCGUGCCGAGAUUGUUCACGAGAUCGGACUUAGUCAUGCCGAUCCCGCUGUCGAUGAUGGAGAGCGUCUUCGACGCCUUGUCGGGGAUGAUGUGGAUGAAGAGCUCCGGCUGCGCAUCGAGCUUGCUCUUGUCCGUGAGGCUCUCGAACCGGAUCUUAUCCAGGGCCUGUUUUAGGGUUAGGGUUCUAAGACCAUUAGCGAUCGAAAAAGCAAAAUAAGCAACGAAGAAGCGUAAAGAGAGAGAGAUCUGAGGAUUUAGGGGAGAGAUCGGGGGGAUCCUUACAUCGGAGGAGUUGCUGAUGAGCUCACGGAGGAAGAUCUCCUUGUUGGAGUAGAAGGUGUUGAUGAUGAGGCUGAGGAGCUGGUUGAUCUCAGCCUGGAAAGCGAAGGUCUCCGUCUCCGCCGCCAUGAUAGUGCUUAGCAAGAGGUGCGCGCGCGAGAGAGAGAGAGAGAGGGAGACGAAGAUAAAAAGACGGAGGAGGCGAGGAGGCAAAGAGAUCUAGGGUUUACUAUGAGAGGGCGUAACGAGGUUGCGCGGAAGAGAAUAUAUAUAGAGUGGAGGGAGAGGGGUUCUAGAUCCUUCUAAAGACCCAGGACCAGAGGAGAGUGGCCCCGAUUCGGAAUAGUUUGUUGAAAUGUCGAUCGCGUGGAGGCGCGCACAAAUCGGAGAUAGUGGGCUUGACCAUGCAGUUUAAGUUCCGGCCCAUUGGGCCUUUUUUUUAACAACUAAGCCUUGUUCCGGAUAAUUUUCUUAUACUCAGGAGACCAUGUUCGGCCCAGUAAAUACCGGGCCGGGUUGGGCCCGUUAACCCAUGUUUAUACAUUCAAACGUUUAACCUUUCUCUAGGGUUUGAAGGUCCUAUAAAGGAGUUAAAACUCUGCCCCAUCGCCGUCCUCCCCCAAUUCUUUUCCUGUACUAGGGUUUCAAGGUUUUUUUUUUUUUGUUAUUAUUAUUAUUAUUAUUAUUAAAGGAUUAGGGCUACAUGUACCGAGAUUAGGGUUUCUGAUUGCCCUAGUCUUGAAAUCGCCUGCAAGGCUGUAGCAACAGGAACUAAAACGGGGGAAGAAAACUGGUCGGAUCGCUCUUCUUCUCUUUCCUAAGCAAUCCGCUUACCAAACUUCCCACAGUUUUCUUUUUUUUUUUUCAAUUAAGUGAUUUUAGCCCCUUUUAUAUGUUGGGUGUUAUAGCGAGGAGGAUAGAAGAAGGGGAUGGUGCAUGUGUUAGCCAUUUUUAGAGGACCUCCUCGCACAUCAAGAGCUACCUCUUCGAUUUUUAAUGUUUUUAGUAUUUUUUUUCACUCCCUCUAUCUCUCUUUUCUCUCUUUUUUUCUUUUUUUAAUGUAGCUCGGUCAUCUUCCGGGCAAGCUGUGUGCCGAUUAUCGCAGUUUGCGUCAUUUGAUGCCUACAUUCAACUAUUUAUUUAUUUAUUUUGAAAAAAGCUGAAAUUAGUUUUAGUUUUUUCUGACUAUUUUUUGGGGGUUUCAUUUUAAUUCGUUGAUCCUCUUGGUUAAAUUGUGUUCUAUAAUUAGUUUAAGUUUUUCGGACGAAAAAAGAAAACAAUAGUAGUUAAUGAAAAUGAUUGGAAAAAUUAUCAGUAGCAUUUUAUUUGAAGUGUAAGUUAAGGAAAUGAAUAGAAGACGAGAAACGAGAAAUCACAGAGCGAUUUAGUUUAAACAAUGGUAAUCCACUGCUUAUAAUUAUAAUAAUAAUAAUAAUAUAAUAAACAUUAAAAGCUAUCGCAUGGUUAUUGGAUGCAUGAACCUGUAAUCUAACACCUCACCCACAAGCGUCUCUGGCUUAUGAUGAUAAAAUAUCUCCCACUCUUUUGUUUAAAUCUGUAGACACAACGCAUGUAGUACAAUCGUUGUAGAAAACGAAGGCUCCCGAGGAAUUAUACCACCAGCCCCAGCUUAACUCACAUUUUUUUUUUGGUUAUAAGAGUCCUGGAUGUUGUUCAACAGCGGGGCUAGAAAAGGUGUGAACUUGGUAGCCACUGUUGCUAACCGACACGGGAACAAUUCCUUAUGAAUUGACUCUGCACACAACCCACAAGAAUUGUCUCUCUCCAAUCAUAGUCCAGUAGGAGAUCGAUCCAUUUCCAGGCCCUGCUUUCGAGUGUUCCAACUUACUUUAGCAAAUCAUGUUCGCCCAGUUUCUCCCAACUUCAAAUUUUUGAAUCUGAAGAAGUAGAAGAGGUGCAAAGAUGAUAGGAUAGGUCCUGCAGCACUUUUAUUGCUUCUAGCAGCAAUAACACCAGCUGCAGCUGCUGCGGCUGCAGGCAUAGCCGCCGGAUGCCCGACGGCCUGCGGUGGCAUCAGCAUCCCCUACCCUUUCGGCAUCGGUUUAACAUGCUCCCGCCAAGGCUUCAACCGCACCUGCGACCAAAACCAUCAGCCUCCGAAGCUCUUCUUAGGCGAUGGCACAAUUCAAAUUCAUUGCUCCGCGCGACAGCCUGCAUCAAUACCAAGAUACUGAGCACCCCUUCUCUUGACUUCAGCUACUCCUGGACCGGCCUGCCGGCCGACGGCCCCUACACUCUCUCCGUCUCCGAGAAUCAGUUCACGGCCAUCGGCUGUGGAGUCCUCGCCAACUUCGUGUUCCCGGAUUCAGAGGAGCUCGUCAGCAUCUGCGCCUCCGUCUGCGUGACGAGGAAGCUCGUGCUCCGUCGGAUGGCUCGUGCUCCGCCGUCGGCUGCUGCCGGAUGACCGUGCCGAUUGGGCUCAGAUCGUCCGAUAUCCGGCUCAGGUCGCUAAACCAGACGCCUAGCUGGGCCGUCAGGUUCACGAACAAGGCCUUCGUGGUGGAGCAGGAAUGGUUCAGGAGAAACUCCCGCAUGCUGGAGCAGAAGUUCAGCUCAGGAGUCGACGAUCCUUCCGCGAUGGAUUCGCUGGCGAUCCCAGCCGUGCUAGAUUGGACGCUCGGCAAUUCGUCGUGCGGAGAAGCAAAGAAUCGGGCGGACUUUGGCUGCUGAAGCGCAAAUAGCGCGGGCAUCGACUCCACAGAGUAUUCUGGUUAUCGGUGCAACUGGUCUGAUGGAUUCCACGGAAAUCCUUAUGUUCUUAAUGGAUGCCAAGGUUUGCAGAUUGAAGAUAUUACUGCUGCUGCACGUAUUUUGCAUAGAGUUUAGGCUUGUGCUAACUUGGCGUCUGUUCUUCUGAUGAGUGGUCAGAUGUUGACGACUGCGAGCAACCAGAAACAUAUCCAUGUUAUGGAAUCUGCCAAAAUGAGAUAGGAUCGUACCAGUGCAGCUGUCCACCAGGAACAAACGGUGAUCCGACCAUUGAAAAAGGAUGCUUCUCCGGCCAAGAACUCUACACAGCUUCAGGUAACAUAGCCUCAAAAAUGUGAAUGCAAAGAACAAAUCAGAGCUCUGUAAACGCCAACUUUUACCUGCGCACAUACUAAUUAGCGCAACAUUUAAUCUAUGCCCAGGUGUAGUUAUCGCAGGGGCCGGCAUUGGUAUUGGGCUUUGAGCUCUGCUCGUCGGCAUCGCCUUUCUCAUCUACAAGUUGAAGGCAAGGAGAGCGAGAAAGUUGAGAGAGAAAUUUUUCAAGAGAAACCGCGGGUUGUUGCUGCAGCAACUGAUAUCUUCGAAUAAGGAUAUUGCGGAUAGGAUGAGGAUCUUCGGCUUGAAAGAGCUCGAGAAAGCAACCAACGAUUUCAACGAGACCUGUAUCCUCGGCCGUGGAGGCCACGGCACGGUCUACAAGGGCAUCCUGUCGGACCAACGAGUCGUCGCCAUUAAGAGGUCCAAAAUCAUAGUCCAACGAGAGAUCGAUCAAUUCAUAAACGAAGUUGCCAUCCUGCCGCAAAUUAACCAUAGGAACGUGGUCCAGCUCUUCGGGUGCUGCCUCGAGACCGAAGUUCCUCUCUUGGUUUACGAGUUCAUCUCUAACGGAACCCUUUCCAACCAUCUUCACGUUCAAGGCGCCCGUUCUUUGUCUUGGGAUUAUCGGCUAAGGAUUGCGGCAGAAACCGCGAGGGCUCUAGCCUAUCUGCACUCAGCUGCUUCCAUAUCAGUGUUCCACAGAGAUGUCAAGUCAGCCAACAUACUUCUUGAUGAUAAUUUUACGGCGAAGGUGUCUGAUUUCGGGGCCUCGAGAUCCGUUCCGUUAGACCUAGAUCUGGCGGGCAUCACCACAGCUAUCCAUGGAACCUACGGUUAUUUGGACCCUGAGUACUACCAUACGAGCCGGCUAACUGAGAAGAGCUAUGUUUAUAGCUUUGGUGUUAUUCUUGCGGAGUUGCUAACAAGAGAGAGAGACCAAUUUCAAACUCGAAAUUGCCGACAGGUCAAAGUCUUGCCGCGCACUUUGUAUGGUUAAUGAGAAACGACAGCCUCUUUGAGAUUCUGGAUCAGCAAGUCGUGGAGGAGGGGCAGAGAGUAGAAAUAGAAGCAGUUGCAGCCCUCGCAGAGAUGUGCUUAAGGUUGAAAGGUGAAGAAAGGCCUACAAUGAAAGAAGUUGAAGUGAAACUCGAAGCCCUCGGAGGCUCCAAGAAGGGGGCUAGGCACCCCUGGGCUGCACAGAGGUUGGAACAGAGUCAGAGAUUGCUAAGCCAUGUAUCAACUGAAGAUAGGGUGGCUGAUAUGACCAGGCAGUAUAGCUUGGAGAAUGAACUCGCGUUGUCAUCGUUACCGCGAUAAAUUUAGCUGUUCCGCUACACCAGUUUUUGCUCUAUCACAAGUUGCAUGCUGCUCUGUUAGAUGCCCAGUGAUUUAUAUGGAUGCUAUCCUUUUUUUGGUGACAUCUCCUAUAUUGUUGUGCUACCAAGAAACAGGUUAUAUUGUUUAGUAAAUUCAUACGACAGGUUAUAUUGUUUAGUAAAUUCAACCAUUCAAGACAUCAGAAUGGUGACAUCGAGUGCACCAGAGAAGAAACUUUAAUUACCCUAGUAUUCCACAGCACAUCAACCUUCGCUAUAAGAAUAUCACAAGGCUGGGUCAUAUAUAUAUAUAUAUAUAUAUAUAUAUAUAUAUAUAUAUAUAUAUAUAUAUAUAUAUAUAUAUAGAGUGAGGCUACUAUGCUAUCGGAAGCACGGAGCCUUCCGUGCUUCCAGCUCGUUUUCGAUGUUGCGACUUUCGAAUCGUCGAUCGGCUCCGUUAAACUUGAUCUAGAGUAUUUGAAGUACCUAGAAAAUAAAUUUUAUGAUUUUACGAUAUCAUUUGCCUAGUGAACGAAGGGGCUCAAAAUCAACGGCUGAAAAUAAAAAUCUUACAAAAUGUAAUAAUAUGACAUUAAAAUUUUAAAUCAAAGAUAUUGAUCUUGUUUUAUAUAGUAUAAAGAAUUUUCUAUCAAAAUUUCACGUGAUUUGGAUAUUUCUACACCGUUAAACUUGCAAACGGCUCACUACGGCCAUUGAAAUUUGUUGAUUUUGAGCCCAUUCGAUCACUAGGCAAAUGAUAUCGAAAAAUAAUAAAAUUUAUUUUCUAGGUACUCCAAAUACUCUAAAUCAAGUUUAACGGAGCCGAUCGACGAUUCGAAAGUCGCAACAUCGAAAACGAGCUGAAAGCACGGAAGGCUCCGUACUUCCGAUAGCAUAGUAGCCUCACUCUAUAUAUAUAUAUGUGUGUGUGUAUUUGUGUGUGCAUGUGCAUUUAUAUUUCAUUAGAUAUAAGAAAAUAAGUAGGUGAAAAUUCACUAAAUUCCUUAAUCAGUAUUAGCAAAAUUACACCAGCAACUGUGGUUAAAUUCAUCUAUUAGAAUUAAUUGAAUUCAGCCUAUCAUUAGGUCGGUGAAUUGCACCAAAAGCUUCUCCGUGUUUCCAUUUCAAACCGAUCAAAUUUAACUAAGAUUUCCACACUAACUACACAAUACCAAUGCUGGAGAUCAUCCCGUCCUGUACCCAUCUGCUUCCUUUUCGAUCUUGUGAAAAGCAUCUACGAAAUAGCCAUCCCUUUCAACUAUUCCAUUCAGAUGUACUGCACGUAAAUUACACCAUCUCUGAUGAGCAAAUCAGAAUAAAUUACACGAGGACUAGGCCAGGGAUCUAGAACUUGAAAAGAGCUACAUAGUAUACAAUGAUGGCGUCGUGACAAGAGACCCACUACAUUAGCUUCUCCCGGGACAGUUCACACGAGGUACCUGUUGACAAACAAAAGAAAGGCUAUUAAUUAGGGCACGAAACAAAAGCUCCUUGGAAGAGAUAUAUAUAUAUAUAUAUAUAUAUAUAUAUAUAUAUAUAUAUAAAAAGAAAAACUAAGGAUGAAUGUCAAUUGCUCUGACUACAUAAAAAGAAUAAAAAGCAUAGUAAAAGUUGGUCCGACAAUCCAAAAUCUGUCCUAGGUUGAAUGUCAAUUGCUCUCACUCCAAUAAAAAGAUUAAAAAGCAUGCUAAAGGCCAUUCUACAAUCCAAAAUCCAGACUCUAGCAGUAGUUAGUCACAAGGUAUUGAUGAUGGUGUGUUGGAUAACUCCUCCCCCGCCUCUCAGUAACAAGUGCUUCUGCUAUGCACCUUUGGAUUUUCUCAACACACAUACACAGAGUAACGCAUACACAAACACGUAUAUAUACACACACAUUGUGUGUGUGUGCGCGCGCGCGUGCACGCGUAGGGGGGCAAAAGAACAUGCAGUAAGAAAACUUCCUGGAGUCCAUGAACUAAAGUGCACAUAAAAAAUUAGCAAAUAAUAUAUAAGAAAAAGUUUACCUUUUUGUUUCCCAUCCAAAUAAAUAUAGCAGGAGACGAAUGCGUAUAUUACAGAUCUCCAGAGAAAAAUAUGUAGUACUACCACAUUAACUGCUAAUCAACUGCAAGAUGCCUGCAGAUUCAUCAUAUUUCCAUCUGCAGAACCAGUUUUUUAGAAUGUAACAAAGAUUAUGUAGAUAUAUAUAUAUAUAAAUAUAUAUAAAAAGCACAGAAGCAAGGAAACAAAAUUAUCAUGCAACUUUGUUAAAAUCUUCCUGACACCCUUACAAUCAUCUACCACUAUGCACAUGCACUCUCAUUAGGAAAACCUACCAGUAUUUAAAUAACAGCUUUCAAGGUAACAACACCCAUCUUUCUUAUUCUCAUACUGCUAGAAACCUAAGGUGAUAUGCAACAACAAUAUGGGCUUCAUAUGCCUAAUCUUCCCAAAGUUGAAAAGCCUUAUUGUAGUUCAUGAAUUCAUUCAUCUUCUACCGUCCAAUAAAACUACGAUGCAUAAAGUUACAACCAUCCACUAAAUACUCCUGAAUAACAUUACGAAUUGACUUGCUAUAUUUUAGUGCACCUUAAAAGUCCUCAUGUUCGAGUUGCUUUUGAACUGGAAAAUAACCAAAUUACCCAGCAUAUUUACAGCUACUAUAGAAUAUUGCUAUCACAACUAUUUGUUGAAAUAGGCCAUAGCAUCCAAUGGAAUCCAACAAUAUCUUUCCAAAAUUUCACAAGAUAAUUAUGCCUGAGGAAUUCUUUAAGUUAGAAAAGCAUACUUGCACAUGAAAAUCGAAUGCAAAUUGCUCUUCAAAUCAGAUAAUUCACUUCUUUUUUCCCUCUCUUCCCUAAACUUGUCAAUAGAGAAAACUUCACAUAGGCCGCGGAUUGAGUCAGCCGUUAUCUUUCUUUGAAUAUUUGAAGCAUAUACCUGUAACAAUUUGCAAUAAGGAGAUCAAAACAUUCAAUGUUUCAACAGUAAAGCAUAAUAAAAAAUUAACCACUAUACAAAAGUUAAAAAAUGAAAAAGCUCCUACAAGAAUGAGAAAAUUUUCACACCAUUAAGCAUGUUAAAAAUAGCACUGAAGCCUAACCACAGAGUAUAGGCAAAUUGUGACGAAAUGCUAACCGAAGAAUUAGCCACUUUCUCCUUUUUUGACUUUGCACAGUACAAUAUAAAAAUAAGGACAGCAUACACAAAUAUGGAGGAAGGUAAAGACGGAUUAAAUAACUUCAUAGGUCUUAAUUCUAUGAUAAAUGUACAGAACAUGACAUUGCGUCUGAAUUAAUUGCAAAAAUAUUUACAGCUAAAACAAUAGUCUAAGGCCUUGCCUAAAUAUUAAUUGCUGCCCAGAAUUAGAUAAAAAAAAUUUGGUCCACUAGGAUCUUUACCCCAAAUCGAUCCAGAAAAAGAGAAAGAAAUAAAGAACUUCAGGCUAAAUAUAAAAUAAAACAUUUAGCAUCUCCAAUCGCAGAUCAUAGGGGCUUUUGAAAUUCAAUAUGCAAUGAGUGUGGCCGACACAAAAAUGCCUGAUUACAUUUUGCUGGUUUAAUGUCAAUUAUCAGGAACUUGUUUCAGAAAACGCAGAUGCCAUAUACCAAUGUAUACUUUGAGCUUAGGAUCUAGUAAUCAAUAACAAUCUCUACAACCAUUGUAAACCACUCUAUCAUAACUUACCUCACUGUCCUCAGCAGCAGAAGGUUGUAUAACAGUGUCUGGAAGGUCAUGGGGUAAGUAAUAAGGAUUCACAACAGCCCACUUUGAUCCAGAACCCUUGUCUUCCCACAUAGACUACAGUAAAUGGGGAGACUUAGUGUCAGUAUGUAAAAACUACAUAUGGUAUGUGGAUAAAUAUAAAAGUAGCUUAUAACUAUCAAGUGUCAGUAUAGUAUUAAGAAUCACUUCUUUGUGCAUCUUUCAGAUGAAGGGAGCAUCCCAAAAUUAAAAUAUUGACCACAGAUGGUAAACUGAACGAAAAUUGAGGGCAGGCAAAUGGACAGGUGGCUACAAAAAAGAGCAAUAUUCCCCUUGCUAUGCAAAGUGAAAGGUACUUUAUGAAAUGACAGGCAUAAUCUUAAGUAGUUACAUGACAAAGACGAAAAGGGAUGGUAAAGACUUGCCAGGAGCUUUGAAGGGAUCGAACUGUUCCCAUCAGCAGGAAUUAAAACAUGGUCCUGAAGCUUGUACAGUGAACCAUUAACCUGACAGGCUCUGUAAUAUAAAUUUCCACCCACAACUUGAAGGACAUCGCCUACCCAAUCCACUGUAUGCAAAUCGGCAAGCAAAGAUCUACAACCAUCUCUAACUUCAUCCUUAGAUUCCAAAACUCCAUUUGGAGUUGUCUGAUGAUUGUCUCCAUAAUCUAACCCAUCAUGGCUACCAGCACUAUGUUCAGAUGCUUCUUUUCCACUCACGCGUUCCUUUAGUUCAUUGAUCCAGGGCUCACUGACUUGUCGAUUUUCAUUAGCAGAAGCUUUGAUACCGCUUUCCACCUCUGUGUUAUUGGUAAUACGAGACGUAGAGGGUGCUUGAGACUCAUUUGCCUUUUUAUUAUCAGAACCAUUGAGUUGCCCAGACUUCGUGAUUUCCGUUGUAACUACAGACAUUGACUCAGUAGGGUUAUUCUGAAUGCUCUCAUGAGAACUUUCACAUCUUGUGCUUAUAUUAGUACAUACAAUCCAAUCAUUCGAGUUACUAGAUAAGAUUUCAGCAGACGAAUUGCCUUCCCUUUUCAUUACAACACCGGACAAAUUCGCAUGUGCUUCUGCACUUACUGUCCAAGUAUUUGGACUCGAUUCAACAGUAUCACCUCUAGUGUUAGUAGCACAUGCGGCAUUUGGCAUGGUAGAAUUUCCAUUUGCUAUUAUUUUUUGUUGAUUACUUUUCGGGUCUGAAGAUUCGGUUUUUCUCUCUCCAGAAACAUGGUUAUGCCCCACUGCAUUGGAUGCGGCCUUGGGUGCACUAGUACUUCUCGUAACUCUACCAUAUUUAGGUGGCAAAGGCUUGCCAUGACUCAAGGUCAGACACUUUGGGCAGUGCCACUCACCUUUAGGAGGUCCUUUAUAAUUAUUAAGACACGUCAAGUGGGUCCCUUUGUCACAAUUAUCGCAAACGAGCAAGCUUUCCACAUCAGUAAUAAGAAUUUUGCAUACUUGGCAAUUCAGAGGCUCUUUCAUGUAUUCAGUUGACAGCGGUGUCCAGUCAGGUGGAUUUGAAGCCUUCCGCUGCAAUAUUUGCUGCACGUAUUUGGAUAUGUCAUUAAAAACGGGGGCAACAGAUGCUGGAUGAGUAUAUGUUUGGCCUUUUACAGUUUGAUGUCCCAUAAUAAGGUUUCCUGCCCCAGCUUGAAUUGUCAAUGUCUUCAAUUGACGAUCCCUCAUUGCAUGACUUGAAGCUGGCAAUAAAUUUGAUUCAUUAUCAACCGAUUUACUUGUCUGUGCUGGGAUAGCUAAUGCUAAUUGGACAGGAGUUGUUGAGGCUUUUUGCGGUGCAUAGUCAACAGAAGUAGCUGACAGAAGAUACAAUAAGGUAAAUUAGAAUAUCAACAAGGAAUAAACAAACCAUUUCAGCAAUAAUAAAUAAGAUGGACCAAAACAUAAUAUUAAAGAAUGAGAAUAAAAUACAAGGUUGCAAAUUGCACACAACCUCAAGUCAAAUGUUGAAAGGUAAAUGGAGGAGGGGGGAAAAAAUGCCAAAUAGACUACCAAGAUACAUACAUAGACAGAAUUAAGCUAAUAGCACAAAAAUUCUAAGAAUUGCAUAAUUUGGUAACAUGUGAAAGGACAAAGGCAAAGGAGAGAUUGGAAGAUUACCUCUAGCCUGGGUUAAAUAAGUCGGUCCGCCAAAUCGUGCAUCAAACCUGAGAUGUGCUGCUUCUGGAUGAGGUGAUGCUAACGAAGGGCCCAAUACUGCUUUUUCAGGAGUUACUGCUUGAUGAAUUUCAUUUAUUUGCGGUUGCUUCAAAGAGGCAGAAGCAGAAGCUAGUGCAGGUGAAUAUGCGACAGUAGGACUCUGAAAGCCUCCUGCAGAGAGUGCCAAUGGACUUGUCUUGUCUAAAGAAAACCUAGAUGCUCCAUGCAACAUAGUUCCUUGGGAUGAAUAAACAGAUGAAUUCAUGGCAACUUCCUUUGCUUCCUCCAUCUGCAAAAUUGCAACCAAAUUUGCAAGACAAGCCAUCAGAUAUGUAACAGCAAAUAACAAUUUUGUGCAGAUUUGAUAAUACAAAGGACUAGCAUCAUUAUAACAGCUUCCAGCUAGAAGAGUAAACAAAAAGUAGAUAAAAAGUUGCACGUGACUUGCACCCACACUUUCACCAACGGCAGUGCAAUAAACAAAAGUAGGCACAAAGAAAAGAUAAUUAAUAUCAAACAUUUUAGCUCGCUGACCAACUAUUCCCUUGGUUACAAGGACAUAAUGAUUUGUCUUAAGCCAUACUUUCUUACCUCCGCAAUGGAAUCAUUCAACAAAGUCAUGUCCAAGUCUCAACAUUGAGUCACCCAUAUCAACCGAGAAUGAAAAAUUAUCUUCUUCCCUUUUAUCUUUUAGAAUUUGUUGAUUCAUAGACAUGAAGAUAUGAGUGAGAGAAGGUAAUUUAACAACUCCAGCAGAAUUGAAAUACAUUGCUUUAAAAUUCAUCGAAAAGAUUAGAUCAACAAAGCCACAGCAUAAGCAGCAGUUAUAGCUUGUAAAAAGUGCAAGAGUUCUUCGCCACAUUCAACGGUAAAAUGCAUUCUUGAAAGGUGAUAGAGUUCUCUUGAUGAUGUCAUGUGCUACCCUUUUACAUAAUUACAAAUUUGUAAAGAAAAGUUACUCUAGUGAUAGAACAUGAAGGAGAGUGUCAUAAUGAUUCACAAAGAAAAUUUCAUGCAAGAGCCCAAUUGGAUGUUCGAACAAAUUACCCAGUGAUAACUUGUGCUCUACAAGGAUUGCUUUCUAAUUGCAAUUUAGGGGUUUGUUUCUAGCCCCUUUGCAAAUAGUUGGCAAUUAUGAUUUGUCAGGACAACACAUUCCACCUAUGAAGUGAUUUAUCUUGUUUCGAGAAAAUGACUUGGGAGAUCAAAUAUAGUACCAUGGUUGUAGACAUCUGAUCAAUUAGUGUAUUCUCAUCAACUAAACAAACGAGUAAGAACAAAACAAGAUUUUCAUCCAUCCCGACAGGCUUAAUGGAGACUUUAGAGUUCACCAAUAACCUACUCUGAUUUUGGACUAGUUUGAUCUCAGAAGUUAACAUUUUCAUCCCAAUAAUGCAGCAUACACUCGUAAAAUCCAAACCAAGCAGCAAUUCAAACACAUAACAAAUUCGGAUUUUCAUAUCCACCGGAGUAAACCUCUUGUAAACAAAUUAACAGCAGAGGGAGGGAGCAGACCUUUCUCUUGGUGAGCGAGACCUUCUCAGCAAUGGUCAUCUUGGGGGGCCGGAACCCCAUCACUGGAUCUUUCGAGCGGCUUAGCCCAAGAUCCUCCGCCAAAACCCUAACCGCCUCCCUGGAGAACAAAUCCUUCGGCCUAACGCCCUCGCACACCCGCGCCAGCCUCUCCCUCGCCUCCGCCAUCAUCGCCGUCUCCGCCGCCGUCGGAUCCCGCCCGCCCCUCAUCUCCGCCAUCGCCGACAGAACCAUCACGACCUCCGCCACGCGCUUCAGCUCCCCGUCCCUCCCCCUCUUCCUCGACGCGGCGGAGGAGGAGGCCGCGCCCUCGUCUCCCAUCUCCGUCGGCGGCGGAGAUCCCCGUCCCUGGGGCGGCGGCGGCGGAGGAGGAGGAGGCGCGAUGGUGCGGCGGCGGAGGAAGGGACCUGCGAGAAAGGGAGGAAUCAGGCGCCAUUGGAAAGAGAGGGGAGAGGGGGGUGGGGGGAGGAGCGAAACCCUAGCGAGGGCGAAGGAGGGAGGGGGAUCGGAAAGAGAGGGAGGGGGCAAAGGGGAGUUUAAAUACCUAUUUGGCGGGUAAUUCUCGAAGGCUUAAGACGUAUAGAGAGAGAAAGAGGGUUAAGAAAACUGAAGCGAGGGGGAUAUCGUAGUGAGAUGGCGGUGAGAGUUUGGGGAGCAGGCGAUGAGAGAGAGAGAGAGAGAGAGAGAGAGAGAGAGAGGAGAGAGAGAGAAAGAGGGAAAAUAGGAGCGAUUGGGAAAGAGGGGUUUCCUUUGUUUUACCCCUUUUCUUUUUCUUUUUCUUUUUUUUCUAUUUUCGCUUCUCGGGUCGGGAUUGAACCGGACCGGAUGGUCUUCGAAAGCGGCGUGGGUUUGGAUCGGUGACCGACUACGAGGCCGAGUAGGAAAUGGACGGAGUGGUCUAUGGGAAUAUGCCACGUGUCCUGUUGCGGGAUUUGGCAUUUCGGGGCUCUUCGGGUUUUGAAACGGCUGGGUCGAGUCAAGUCCGUCGCUUCGCUAAAGAUGACUCGAACUCGGGCUUGACCCGUUUCUCAGGUUCGUGUGUUUGCUAGGGUAUGCAGAUGAAAUAAAUUAACGUAAAAAAAAGAAAAGAAAAUCUGCAGUGUAUAUAAAUAGCACAUAUAAUUCUUCGAUUUUGCAUAUAUAAGAAAUGUUACAGAUAUGAAUUUGGCAAAUAUAUGCUAGAGAGACAUAGGUGUGAAAAGGGCAAAAAAAAAAAGAAAUGUGUACGGCCCCUGUUUGGAAACUCUUGACAGUUUUAUGGAGUACUUUUUUACUUUAGUAUUAAUAUUUCACCGCAUAUAUAUAUAUUAUUUGGAUGGGCAUUAUAUUACUGUAUUUUAAAUUCUUUUUUUUUUUUAAUUAUACUGUUUGACAUUGCUCCAAAACAGGCGCUAAACAGUUAGAUUGGGUCCUGUAAAGGUUGUGCCCAUUUAGGGCCGCUUAGUAUCGAGGCAUUGCAGCUUCAUGUACCUGCAGAAUGUUGAAAAAUUUAUGGUAAAAUACCUCCAUGCACCACGAAUGAGAAAUAGCGACCAUCCAAGAGCAAUCGGUGCGACGUGAGACGACUCCCGAAAACAAAAUCCCAUCUCCAUAAGACUAGUAACUCUCUGCACCUCCAAACGAAGCUUAUUGAUUCCUCAGAAUCUGCUGUCGAUAGAAAACUUAAAUGAGCUUCUAAAUCCUAAACCUCAAAGCUUCAAUAAAGAUGAGGCUGUAGGAAGAACUCUACCGAAAUACAAAAUAGAGUUGGUAACAGAACGUAAGUAAGAAAAAUAGUGGAGGUAGACAAGGAAUCAACUGGGGACUAGGCAACAAAAACAUGAAUAGGUGGCGACAUUGAUGAUUGCAUGAUAGACGAGAAAGAAGCGGCGGCAAAAACAAUGACCCACAACCUCCCGAGGAUCAUUGGAAUUUGGAACCACUGUACAUAAGGCAAUGAGAGAGGCGCUGGUAGAAGACAGCAGGACGAAAUCAAUCACAAGCACUUCAACUUCACAGCACGCUCAGGUGGGGAGCCUCUGCUGAUGACAGUGAUAUAUAGGAUCAUCACCUCCAAGUAUUUGCACAAUAAUUUAAGAUAACGGAUAUUCUGUUAUUUGAACCCAUCAAAAUAUUGAUUGAACAAUACUUUCCACCAGAUGAAUACUGUAACCUCCAGGCACUCUUAAAGUGCAAAUAACAAAAUAGGAAGCAGCACUACAUUUAGAUUUAAACCGUGUUAUUUCGAUCAUACACGGAAUAAUCCUUGAACUGUAGGGCAUGUACACUGAUUCUAGUUGCCAAGCCCUAUGGUUCUGUCUCUAUUCAAUUCUCGGAUCAAGGGUUUACCUCCUAACAAUUAUUGGGUUUGAGAUAGAUCACGUUUGCUCCUGAAAUUGCAAACAUAAAAGGGUAGGCUACCACCAACUGCUCUAAUGAGAUGGAUCAUAUGCAUCGAAAGAAGAGAUACGAGGGACAAACACAAGUUUGAAUACAGAUUCCACCAAAAGAAUUGAUAAAAACAAUACUAUUCUGUCGAAGACAACUAGAAAUGAAGAAUGUUUAUUUACAUUUCAAUUAUAAACUGAUCUGAAGCCUUCUGUAAGAGCAACAACCUUAGAAGAGAGCUUUGGCUGCAGCUUUGACACAGCCAAACGAAUAUCCUACAAAAAUAAAACUGAUUUCAGUAAGCUGACAACGCAUUGCAUGAGCUGAGACAUUGAUACAUUACCUCCGUAUAAUAUCGAGAUGAGAAGUGUGUGAGUAAGAUGGCCUUGUUACGGAACCACUGAGCAUGCUCCAUAAUCUGCAAAAUAUGCAUAAUUUUACCACUACUCAGGCCAUUGUUUUGUACAUUUUGAUCCGUAAAUCACUACCAAAGACGUAAAACUUUUAAAAUCCCUUCAUAAUAAAGCAUGUAUACUAGGGCCAUGCGCUAGUGUCAUCAUCAAAAUUCUGGUUAUAAAAUCUUAAUACAAGUUAAGGCAAUAAGUUACCUCAAACAAAUGCAUAUGACCAUGUUCCCGGGCAUGGUUGAUGUCAUUUUCUUCAUCAAGGAAAGUAGCCUGCCACAAAAAGGAAUGCAAUACAUCAAUUCUUUCCUCAAGUUAUUAAAUUUCAAUAGACACUAGGUUAUUAGCUUGUUAAUAGACUUGUACUAUAAUAAUAACUGUCCGAGAAUAUAGAAGGCAAAUCCAAAAGGACAUUUCAUCAUAACAGUUGGUUUUUCUGCAACAUGUUACCUAUGAAAAGAGAGUUCAUAAUCUACUCGAGGAGCUCAACCUACACAGAAGUAAAACGGCAGGCUGAAUAUAUGAGUUGAACAAUGCAAAACUCUUAUAUAAUACGCAUAUUAAUUUUGGUCUAUUGUUUGCCAAUUACUACAAGAUGCAUGUUAUGAUCGAUGGAAACUGAAGUGGAUAAUAUGCUGAAAUUUGAACAAGUUGAUUUGCCACACAGAUAGGCUAGUGUUUGUUGCUUCUAAAACUGAUUUAACAAACUCCCAUUGCAACCGAAACAAUUACACCUCAAUGGCAUAAUAAAACAUACCUCUGUGAUAAGAAUUUUUGCCCUCAGAGCAUCUGCAUUUCGUGGCUCGAUAAUGAAGUCCGACAUUGUGUCUCCUGUGAAGGCAACCUCUGGAGAUAAUAUGGUGUCCGUAAUCUAACAAAAAGAUUUGCAGUCAUCAAUACGAAAUCAACAGAUAAAGAGAAUUUGGCAUGUAACUGCUAACAAGGCUUUUUCCUCCCAGUGGCAAGUGACUACAAACCUGAACACCGGAAAGCUUCAAUUUCUUGAUUUGCGUGCCUUUUAAGUGAGCGUACUGUUUUUUGAGCUUGUUUCUCACUGAAUAAAUGACAUAUCCCUGAAUCAUAUUUGGCAACACAAGUUGUGUAACAAGACAGGUAGAUAAGCACGAUAUUUUUCAAAAAGAAUGAUCUAAUGAAGGAUACCUGGCUGGGUAUAACAUGUCGAGUUCUGAAUGGCCGAACGACAAGAUCAUUACGAAUCUCAUAAGUCUCUCCUAAAAUUUUGGUAACAAAUUCAGUAAGAAUCAAUCAAAAAGAUAAGGAAAGAUUGAAGCAGUAAAAUAUUUUUUCAUACCCACAUCCAGAGCAACUAGUUCGACUUUUAGUUCAACUUGACUCAUGGUCCGAUGAAUUUGUAGCAACUUCUCCACAUCCUCUUUAAUACAUGGGGGCACAAAUACAGUUGGAGGUUUUAAAUUGUAUAGGCCGCGCGUAGCCAAGUACAUUGGAAGGCCACCCUACAACGAAAUCAUGACUGAGAACUAUUUUCUAGCAGAUAAAAAUGUAAUUUUGAGAGGAAAAAUAAAGAAAAAUAAAACAGAUCAGACAAAUCAUGACAGAUCGACGUUUAAAAAGGAUUAAAAAAAAAAGAAGAAAAGAGAGAGAGAGAGAGAGAGAGAGAGAGAGAGAGAGAGAGAGAGAAUUAAAUGCCAGCAAAACUAGGUAGAUAUUUUGAGAAUUUUUCUCACAACUAACCACUCAAAAUAUUAAAAAGGGUUCACAGAUUUCCUGAUUGGCACACCACACUUUGCCAUUCAUUCACAACUCCAAUUGGAUGUUUGAAUAUCUUCAAAGUAAAUUUCUUGUUCCUUUGCUAUCUCGUAAUCCCUAAUUACCAAGUGAUUUGGACCCAUCACGAUCAAAUGCACCUAAAAUGGGGGGCAAAAAUGGGGGGAACAGGGAUCUUACACCGUGAUCUUGGUCAGCAAAUUAGAAUCUUUUUGUGACAUCCCAAUAGUCCAACAUCGGAUAAUGUGGAAGAGCCUGCUAGGUUUAUAAGUAGCGGACACACUAGACAUAAUAACUGGGCUUAAGCAUUUUGGGCCGGUAAUUAGGCCCAACGAGUUAUUAUUGCUAGUGGGCUGGGUCGUUACAUUUGGUAUCAGAGUCAGUUCACCAGCCGGAAGUGUGAGAUAAGUCUUGACUGAGCUAGGGUUGGAAUGACAAACUAAGUCAGGAUCGGUGAUUGACAAGUUAAGUCAGGGUCGGAAAGACAAAGGCUAGCGAGACAAAUCUCACGUCGCCUGGUGAUCUUGGGUUGUGUGUGAUCGGAUGGUUAUAACUAGAUGUGGGAGUAUAUAAGCUUGAUUGAGCUAGAUAUAAUAACUACGCUUAAGCAUUUUGGGCCGGUGGUUUACGCCCAACGAGUUAUUAUUGCUAGCGGGUCGGGUCGUUACAUUUGGUAUCAGAGCCUGAUAAACAGCCAAAAGUGUGAGAUAGGUCUCAGGACUAUGUAUAUGAUUGGGCCGGGCUGACGAGGGCUGACGAGGACAUCAGGAUCUAAACGAUAGGAGUAUGUGACAUCCCAAUAGUCCAACAUCGGAUAAUGUGGGAAAGCCUGCUGGGUUUAUAAGUAGCAGACACACUAAAUAUAAUAACUGGGCUUAAUCAUUUUGGACCGGUGGUUAGGCCCAACGAGUUAUUGUUGCUAGUGGGCUGGGUUGUUACACAUUUCCUAACCCAACAACUCAAAAUGACGAGUUCAGAGAUUCCUUAGUUCUGACCGCAUACUUUGUGGCUAAUAUCAUACUAUAUUUGUAUUGAAUUGCACCAAAUCCUUCCUUUUCCCAAUUUCCCAAAGCAUCACCAUUAGAAACCGCAUUAAGAAGGGGAAAGAGGGAGGAGAGGGAUCGUACGAUGUGGUCGAGGUGGGCGUGGGUGAUGAAGAGGAAAUCCUGGUGCACGGCCUUGGCGGGGCAGCGGCCGAUGUCGAAGGCGGAGUUGAGGCUGGGGACGACGACGCAGGUCUCGUGGCCGCCGACGGAGACGCCCUCGAUGAGGUAUCCCUCGACGUCAACGCCCUUCCGCCGCACCUCCGCCCUCGCCCUCCGGUACUCCUCCUCCUCCAUGGCCCGGUCGAUCACCGACAAGAACCCCGACUUCUUGAUGGCUAGGGCACGGAACCGAUCGGCGGCGGCGGCGGCGGCGGCGGCUGCAGGGGAAGAGGACGAGGGGACGGUGAGGCGAGGAGCGGCGUGGGGAGGGUCGAAGGGGAAGAAAUGCGAGGGGAGAGACGGGGAGGAGAGGGUCGAAGAGAUCGGCAUUUGAAAUUGCUCUAGAGAGAAGAGAAAGAGGAAGAAGAAGAAGAAGAAGGCAUGGGAAGAGUGGGGGAGGAGAAGGGAAAUGGAUUAUGGUCUAGGGCUUUGGGAGAAGGGGUUGGAAUGAAAAGGGCAGGAGAGCGGCUUUUGGACGAACUAGGCAGAAGAUAACGAGCAGACCGGGUGUAUGAAAUUAUGAAUAUGUAGAAUUUUUUUUUUUUUAUGCAAUAUUAAUUUUUUAUCCGAAAAUAGUAGUUAUUAGUUAUCUAAAAUAACCUAGUAUAACUAUCUCCACCAACCCCUUUAUUUUUUAUAUAUAAUUAUCCAUUAUUUUUUUUAUUCUUUAUUAUCUAUUCAAACGUUAUUUUUUUUAUUCUCGAAAACAAUUCAAUUUUUAUUCAAAUAUAAUAGCUAGUUCUUGUUUAUACCCGAACAAAAUGUUACCUUAAAUUAUUAUUUAAUUUCGUAACAUAAACUGCACUUCUGCUAGAAGUAUGUUUGUAAAAAGUCUGCAAUAAUGUUUGUAAGCAUAUAAUUGGGGGAUUCAAAUUGGAAGCGAUAACGGUUGGUGAUUCUUUGUAGAAGAUUUACCGAGAUAGAACUUGAAGCAAACAGAACCCGUCCGAUUCAAGCAACUCAUAACUUAUUUUGCUUCCAUGAUCGUCUCUCUAGUUGAUCCGUUAUAAACUAUUCUUAAAAGUAACUGACGCAAACGCAGUGAAUAAUCAUCAGUCUCUGAUACUCCACUCAGCUUUCCAAAUAGAAACCCGAAGCUAGCUCAUUCACUAAGAUAAAGGUAAAGCACACAAACAAAUAGCAAUUCAAUUGAACACUUUAAUACUUUUAUCCUACCACUACAAAUAACUAACAUAAUCUCAUUAUGUACAACAUAUAUACAAUUAUAACACAGAAUUACAAACAGAGUCGUACUAAAAGUAUAUACAUCAGAUUUAAAAAACUUCCAAUUAUAUCGAAACUUUUCCCAAUUUGCGGUCCGAUUGUUGAAAUGGGGUGUGCACCGUACCACUUGAGUCGGUGAAGACCAUGUCGGAGCAAACAAUAGUCCUCGAGUUUGACGUGAGAAUGUAUGCAUCUUGAAGCGUGAACCCGUGAACGAUUGGCAAAGGAAAACCUUGUCUGAGAUGGGAAUUCACGUACGGCACAAAUAUGGUUUUCAGGAAAACCCGUAUUACCCCCUGCAGGAAGAGACAAUUGCAUGAAAUAAAGGAUCAUUUUGAUAUCAUCCGUAGUUAAAAAUUCAUGAUGAGAUGGCAAAAAAAAAAAAAAAAAAAAAAAAAAAAAAAAAAACCAGCCAGAAGGACUAAUAGGCAGCCUACUGUCCAUCAAGACUCGGCAUUUGUUUUGGCUUGAAAAUUCAUAUAGACGAUAGAAGCAAAUAAACAUUAAUUUAUAUCUUUAAUUUAGAAAAGAAAACAUUUAAAAGCCUAGAAGAAGGCCCUAACCAUGACCAAGCUAUCAUACCUGGAUCAGCGACAUAUGGAAGUUUCCAACUUUACUCCAUUUCAAGGUAAGGGAGAAAUCAUCCAUUGUGGCUUUACCAGCCAGGUUAUUCCCUAAUAUCUCCACAAACCCUGAGAUAGUAACUUCCUGCGGAAAAAUCACAAGAGAAUUAUCAUUCUAAAAUGCAUGAACUGCAAGUUAACGCAUAAAACUAAGUUUAUUCAUGGUUUUAUGAUGACUGUGAGAGCAAAUUAAAGCAUAGGAAAGAACACAAAAGGUAUUGCCCUUAUAAGCUCACCAUUGAUAUGCAGGCCACAGGAAUUGUCUCUGCGUUAUCCAAUACAUCAAUUGUCAUGUCUAAGUAAAUGGUAGAGCCAAUUUUUUCUUCUCUAAUCUUCACUUCCGGGGGUGAGGUCAAAGAGAUAUCCAGCAACAUAUCAUCAUUUGGGUACUUCCUGUAUAAUUGAGGAAUCAGAAAUUUCCAGCUAGCUGUGUUCAUUAGAGAUUGAUCAGGUACCUUGUCCACAAUCCAAUGCAUCAAACCAGCCUGAAGGAAAAGGUUAAUCAGAGUCAAUCAAUUUGCUCGAAGAAAGAUUUGGGAUCUGAUACUUUCUACUCCAAUUUUUUCCCCUGGAAAUAUACUCAAAAUCAAUAUUAGGACAUUCUAGGACAUUAUUUCUUAAGAUCCAUGUUGUUAUUUAGCAUCUAAAGAACUCAAAAUAUAUAUAAAUUAAUUUUUCAGUUAAUGAAAAUCCUUUCUUUAUGCAUCAAGGGUACAAUAAAUUGACCACACCCCACAUAUAGUCUAGGCGACUUGACUUACAUAUUCAAGAACAUAUGUAAACAGAAAAUACCAUAUAUAGCCUAGGCGAUUUGAGUCAUUUGACUUACAUAUUCAAGAACACAUGCAAAUUGAAAACAGACAAAUACAAAAAACUACCAUCAACUUAACAAACUACUUCAAAUUGAGAUUCUGCAUAGAUCUGUUUUUUUUCUAAUGGGUUAUUCAUAUAUAAUGUUAAGAUGACUCUGCAUAGAUCUAUUCUUUUUUUUGAUGUGUUAUUCAUAUAUUAUGUUAAGACACUGAACUCUCUGUACUACCAGGCGUGGACAAUUGUACAAGUACAUAAGACAAGAAGAACACAAAAUUCAAGGGAAAAUGUAGUAGGAUGAGAUACUACAUUGAAGAUAUAUAAAUCAUAACACGCUCACCAGUUAUAUGCAGAGUCUUGUUUCAACCAAAAGAGUAGAUGUACAUAAGUAAGGUGAUCUGACAAGAACAACCAAAAAGUAGAUUCCCAUAAGGUAAUAUGAAAACUUACCUGGAAGUAUACCACUGACGCAGAGUUAAAUACAGCUUCAUCCAAUGAAAUCCAAAGCAUUUUCGAUGCACUACCACAAGAUGAAAGAAGGGGAUACUUAUGCAAGCAGCGUGGAUCAGUAUAUCCAGAUGAGGAAACAAAUAAGCCAUUGAUAUCAAACUCAAUAGAAGAAUUUCCAAAUACUGGAUCUUUUACAAAAGUCACGUUCAAAGCAGCAACAUUGUCCACAUUGAUUUUCUUUGGAAGACUUUGCAGUAGUGAAUCGAGCUUUGAUGUCCCUUCACUUAUUUUAUUAGUGAUUGUGUUUUCGACUGCAGAUCUAAUCUGGUCCCCCAAAGCAUCUACAAACCUAUAUAUUAAAAAAAAAAAAAAAAACAUGAUAUAUGGUGAGAAAAGAAAAGUGUUAAUGUAUCAAGCGUGGAACGGGGAAUCCAAAAAAAGCGCAUAAAUCAAAACCUUAUUACAGUCUCUAACACUAUCGACCCACAUACCCUUGAUAAAACCAAGAUGCUCCUCCAUUCAAUGUUAUGAUUAAUUCCUCCAUAUAGCAGCCACAUUCCAUCGCAGUCAAUUGCAGAGUUCCAUUUUUAUUCUUCAUGCUCAUGGUAAGCCCGACCUCCAUUCCUUCAACCUUAUCCAGAAGCAGGAUCAUCAAUUACCUUUUAUUGAAAUAUGUAUACAACAUAAGCGCGCAGACAUGAAGAAGGGGAACAAAGAUUUAAAUGCCAAAUAUCAAUGGCUCUUAUAGUGAAGCUCAACAUAGUCAAACUAUGGAAAAGAAUAUUGAGUAAAAGUAAAAAAGCAUGACUACUAUGAUCAUUAAUCAGGCAGUGAGUGUAUAAAAAGGUGCAAUUUUUUUACAGAUGCUACAAAAUCAAAAAUAAGGAGUGCUAAAAUGUUAUCUCUAAAUUUAAUAAUGCUGCAGUAUAAAAUCCCCAAAACAGAUUCACCUGAGAAUUAAGAAAAACUGAUCACUUAAAUUCCAGCAGAAAUAAAACAACUAAAUACUAGAAAUUGGAGAACACAUUGUACUACCUUAAUCGAAGCAGUCCCGUGAUCGGAUAUCUCAAUCGGAAGUAUCCAUGUGCUGUACGAAUACCUCCAAUCCAUGCUCAAAUUAACAGUCGCACCCGACGCGACGAUCGCGAUCCCCGACUCCCCGGGCCUAACCACCGAAGAAGAAACAUCGAUGCCUAACAACGUUAUAUUCGUCGCCGCCAUGCGAACUCCGCCAAUGAACGGAACCCUGAUGGACUCCUCGACAUCGGGGAGUCGAAUCGGGAUGAGGGACUUCACCGCUUGCUCGAUCAACAAAUCCUUGACGAAUUCGAGGCCUUUUUCGGAGAUGAUCGCGGAGAUGAACGCCUCGUUUUCGUUGGAUUGGGAAUGGGGAGUGGACGGAGCGGAGGAGAUGGUUGGGAGAAAGAGGAGAAGGAGGAGGAGAAGGGGCGCCAUGGGGUUUGGGAGGAGGGAGAUGGAUGGGGGAAGGGAUUUUAGCGCUAGGGCUAGGGUUUGUGAUGAGGGUUCGGGAAGAGGAGAGAGAUAGGUGGAGAGGGUGAAGGGAAGAGCAGGAUGGGGUAAAGGAAAACGGCAUGGAUGAUUGCUUGAAAGGCCACGGCUUCACCUUCUUCGAUAACAAUUAUUGAUCGUACGGCUAAAUAAAAAUUUUGCACCGGAGCCAUUGACCUUUCUGUGCUUUCAAAGUUAGGUCCUUUUUUUUUACCGUAUUAAUUGUACUCUACUAAACGGUACUUUAUAAUUAUUUUUAUUCACUAUAUUAUAUAAUUAUUUUUUCAAAAAUAUUAUUCUAUUUUGUCAAUCUCUAGUCUCUACACUAUAUUUUAAAUUUAUUUGUACUUUUCUAUCAUAUACUAUUUUUUAUAAAUACUUUUUUUUUUUUGUCAAUCUCUACAAUACUAUUAACCAAUAAAUAAAUUUUGAUAAAAUCUAAUAAUUUUUUUAAAGAGACACUAAUUAAAUAGUAGGAAAAAUGAAAAUAAAAAUUCAUAAUGAACUCGUUAAAAGGUUCUAUCAAGUAAUUUUUUAUUAUUUUAUAUAUUUUAUUGCUUUCAUGUCAAAAUGAGUUAACUAUAUAUAGGCCUUUUUGCAUAAAAAAUUCACUUAUUUUGGGCUUUUGCAAAACCGGGUCACCUUUUUCGUUUUUGCAGAUUCGGUCCGCUUUUUCAGCAAACUGACCAAAAUACCCUUAUUACUUUUUCUCUUUCCUCUUUCUCUCACCUCUUCUUCUUCACCGUCGCCUCCCUCCUCACCAUCCUUCUUCACCGUCGCCCCCCUCCUCACCCUCCUCUCCACCGCCCGCGACCCCCUCCUCCUCUCCUCCGCCGCCGCGGACCCCCAGCCCGAUCCCGUCGCCGCGGCGGCAGCGGCCGCGGCGAACGGGGUCGGGCUGGAUGCGGAGAAGAAGACAACGGCGAAGAAGAAGAAGGGGAGGCCAAGCGACAGGGCGCAGGAGGGGGAGGCGGAAGCGCAACCGGCGCCGGCACCAGCGCCGCGCGUGUUCUUCUCCGUCGGCGCUGCCCCUCCUCCCGCCGCCGCGCAGAAGCCGCCGACCAGCGCCUCUGCUUCUUCCACGACGACGUCGAGACGCCGCGUCCGCCGCGGACCCCCAGCCCGAUCCCGUCGCCGCAGCGGCAGCGGCCGCGGCGAACGGGGUUGGACUGUUUUUUAUUUUAAACUGCACAUCUUUAACAGAUAUUUAUACUGCUUCUCCUCUUGUUGCAUUGUUUCUCCUCUUGUUGCACUGUUUCUCCUCUUUAAAGAGGAGAAACAGUGCAACAAGAGGAGAAGCAGUACAAAUAUCUCUUAAAUGGGUGCAGUUUAAGAUAAAUGAGUGCAGUUUUUUUUUCUUUUUGCACCAUUUUUUCUCUUGUUACACUGUUUUUUAUUUUAAACUACACAUCUUUAACAGAUAUUUAUACUGCUUCUCCUCUUGUUGUACUGUUUCUCCUCUUGUUGCAUUGUUUCUCCUCUUUAAAGAGGAGAAACUGUGCAACAAGAGGAGAAGCAGUAUAAAUAUCUCUUAAAUGAGUGCAGUUUAAGAUAAAUGGGUACAAUUUUUUUUCUUGUUGCAUAAUUUUUCCUCUUAUUACACUAUUUUUUAUUUUAAACUACACAUCUUUAACAGAUAUUUAUACUGCUUCUCCUCUUGUUGCACUGUUUCUCCUCUUGUUGCACUGUUUAACAGUGCAAUAAGAGGAGAAGCAGUAUAAAUAUCUCUUAAAUGAGUGCAGUUUAAGAUAAAAAAUAGUGUAACAAGAGGAGAAAUGAUGCAACAAGAGGAGAAACGGUGCAACAAGAGGAGAAACAGUGCAACUUUCAUUUAAAGAGUGUAAUUUUUAUCUUAGUGGGUGCAGUUUAUAUCUGAAAGAGUGCAAUAAGAAGAGAAACAGUGUAAAUAUCUUUCAAAGAGUGUANGGGCAGAUUAAUUUUAUUCUUAUUUUUGCCCCCAACUUACUGCUUCAUUCGGGGUGAACUGGAACGGAAGGGUUUGAAUGAAUUCAGAGAAAUUAUAUUUUUUUACAUUUUUGAUUUUUACUUACCGUCCUAUUUGGAUCGGAGCUCUACCAAUCUGAAUCCAUUUGCAUUCUUACAUGUAGCAUGGAUUUGCCCAUCUCAAAGAAGCUUAUUGUUAGAAAAAUGGCUAAUGGGCGGAUCCCCUAACGUUAUUGGGCCUCGGCCUUGUUUCGGGCCCAUUAAGAGACCCAAUCCGAAGUUUUAAAAAAGGGUAAACUAUACGAACCCCCCCUUACCUAUAGCCUAUUCUGCAUUUUGAAUUAAAUAAUUUUAAUCAAUUAAUUUGAAAGUUUUAAUAGAUUUAUAACUAAUCCCAUAGAAUUCAUUAAUUUUAAUUGUUUUUUAGCAGAUAAAAAUUGUAAAUAAUAGCUAAUGAAAUUAUUAAAUUUACUAAAAUUUUAAUGUAACACAGAAUAACUCAAUUAUAAAGAAAAGGCCAAAACUUUAAAGAUGCGUAAAUAAGAAACUAAAGUAAAAAUGUACCACUUCGAAAUGGAGCCCUCAACUUUUAUCUAUUUAUUUAUUAUUUUGAUUGAAACACCAUUAAUGAUUUUAGUCAGAAAAGUUCUGAAGAUUUUAUCAAAUUGGUAAUUUUAUAAAAGUUCAAUAAAUUUAAUCAUUUUUUGACAAAAAAAAAUCUCACUAAUUAAUUAUUAAAAACUACUAGAGUCAAUUAUAUUUGAUUACAUUUUUAACCUAACUCAAUAAACUUUUUUUAAAAAAAUAAAAAUUAAACAACUAAGUUUCAAUCACAAAAAAAAAAAAAAUACAGAAUAGUGCAGUAUUUAUAAGGCUUAAUUCUGUCAAAACCAAUAAUGUCACCUUGUAAACCAAUUAUUAGUUAAGAUUUGUCCCAAGAGUUUGGUUGGUAUGCUUAUGGAAGCACGGAGGCCUUCGUGCUUUCAAGUUGUUUUCGAUGUUCGAAUUUUCGAAUCGACGAUCGGUUCCGUUAGAGUUGAUUUAGAGUAUUUGAAGUACCUAGAAAAUAAAUUUUACGAUUUUUCGAUAUCAUUUGCCUAGUGAUCGAAGGGGCUCAAAAUUAAUUAUUUUAAUAGCCGUAGUGAGCCGAUUGCAAGCUUAACGGUGUAGAAAUAUCCAAAUCACGUGAAAUUUUGAUAGAAAAUUCUUUAUACUAUAUAAAAUAAGAUCAAUAUCUUUGAUCUAAAUUUUUAAUGUCAUAUCAUCACAUUUUGUGAGAUUUUUAUUUUCAACCGUUGAUUUGAGCCCCUUCGAUCACUAGGCAAAUGAUAUCGAAAAAUAACAAAAUUUAUUUUCUACGUAUUUUAAAUACUCUAGAUCAAGUCUAACAGAGCUGAUCGUCGAUUCGAAAGUCCCAACAUUGAAAAUAACUUGAAAGUACGGAGGCCUCCUUGCUUUCCUAAGCAUACUAGCCGCACUCUUGUCCCACGUAUUUAAGUUUAAGAAAAGAUAAUACUUAUGUCCUUUGUUUAUACACUUUCAAGCUGCUUUUGGAUUGAAUGUUAAUAAAAUUUCAAAUGAUUCUUAAUUUUCUUCGUCACUUGUUCUUGUGGGACUAUUUUAAUACAAUAAUGAAAUAUGUGUCAGAACUUUCUUUCUAAAUUUUAUUAUCCAUCUAAUAGAGAUUAACUCAUGUUAAUUUAUAGUAAUUUUUUGAACUUAAAACUUUAAGUAUAAAUUAUUAAAUCUUUUAUCGCAUGCACUACCUGACAGCCGGUAAUUUUUGAUUUUUUGGUUUAAGAAUUCUUUAUCAAUAUAUUCUUAAUUAAAAAAUAUAUUUAUGACUAUAAAUAUAAUAAAUAUAAAUUUAUAAGAGGGCUGCUGAAAAUAUAGAGCCUACUGUCAUAUUCACACAUACACAUCUCAAAAAAACAUUUGAUGAAAACUUAUUUAUUUUUUACUAAUAUAGUUUAAAUUUUUAAAAAAUUGAAAUGUUACUAAAAUCUCAAUAAUAAAAAGGCGUUUCGAAGGGGCGUAAAGCUUAGGGGACAGUUUUACUGGUUAAAAAGAAAAACUUCAAAUACUAUUUUUGUAGUUGCACACAUUCUCACUUUAAUAUCUUGUGGUUUAAAUUGUAUUAAUUUAAUAUCCUGUGAUUUUAUUUUUAUUUUUUUAAUAUUAAUUUUAUUAAUUUUUUUAUUAAAUCAGUGACAAAGUUAAAACUAAAGAGUACUAAAAUGAAUAUUCGAUAAACUUAGGUAAAAUAUCUAAAAUUUUUUAUAUAUAAUUUAAUAAAAUAUUAAGAGAGAAAUUAACGAAAAAUUAAAAAUAAAAUAACCGAAUGCUAAUUUGAUAUAUUUUAAAUUAUAAAUUAUAGGGUAUUAAAAUAAAAAGUUGCGAAACCAUAUGGGUUACCCUUAUUGAGAAUCAAACCGAUUUGUUGCGCAGCGAGUUGGAAAUCCUACGUAAUUCGGAUCGGAUCCGAGGGUUCACAUAGCUCCGAUAAAUACCAAACCAUUUACCAUACACUAUAUACAGCCCCGCCAACCAAAGACCGGGAAGUGACAAGGGGGAAGUGGGAACUUCUUACGACCAGCGUAGAAAUCAAGAAACGGGCGUGAGAUUAUCAACUUCUAGAAGGCCAAAAAGUAAAUCGGACCAAGGAGGCAAACUCGAAAGCCGCUCCUUCUCGUUUCUCUCUCCUCCCUGGCUCCUCUCUCUCUCUCUCUCUCUCUCUCUCUCUCUCUCUAACCUCAAAGGGGGAAAAGAAGCUUCGAGAGUCGAACACCUUUACCCCGCAAACACCAAUCCCCUCCAACAAUGGCGAUGCAAAGCGGAAUCGCCACCUCCAAGGUCCUCAUCCUCGUCGGAGCAGGUACUCUUCUUUUCCGAAUCCACGAUCCUUUGAAUCGUUAAUCGUUGUUCUUGUAUCGACCGAUCUCCUUCAAAUCUUAGGGUUUUUUGUGAAUAAUUUUGUGAAAUAUCACAAAAUUUGUGAUCUGCCUUUUCGUUUUUGAUGAUAAUUUUGGUGAGAUUCGAUUCCUAUUGUUUAUAGGAUUGACCGGUUCGAUUAUACUGAAGAAUGGGAGAUUAUCGGAUGUAUUAGCAGAGCUUCAGGUGAUUGCUUAUUUCAAUUAUAUUCGGCGAUUUAGUUCGGUUAAUUAGUGUCACUUCUUAGUGGUUUUAGAAUUUGCUUGCUUAGAGAUCGAGAUUUUUUUCUGAAUAAUUAGGAAAUUUGCCUAAAUUUGGCCACAGAGUUUCUGAGGGGAUAAACCAUAUUACCUUUUCUAAUUAUAGCAUGCUUUCUUUUUCUCCUUUUAAUUAGUUCAGCUUAUCAUACUAAGAGUGAGAUGUGGUGUUCCUUCCGAUUUCAGGAAUUAGUAAAAGGUGUAAAUGAAGGGGAAGCAUCUUCAGGCCACUAUGACACGGCUCUUCUUGCGGCUCAGGUAUCUCGUUGUUGUUCAUGAACUGUGAAAUUUUAGAAAUUUUUUUUUUUUUUCCCCCUUUUGAGAUAGCAUUCAUGUGGUACCCAUUCGUACAAGAUCUUAUAAGAAAAUCAAUAUGAUUUUUGAAGAUAAACAAGCGUUUACUGACGUUCGUUGUUUUAUUGUCGCCAUACUUUUGUACUUCAUUGCUUUUAUUCUUUUGAUGUCGUUAUCAAUUGUUUCUUUUCUUAUGUUAUAUCAUUGUUGGUAGAUUCGACAUUUGGCUCAAGAGGUUAGGGAUUUGGCACUGUCUAGACCCGUGACUGUGUUGACUGGGGAUUCAAAUUCAAGGGGUGUGUUUAUAUACUGGUUUUAUUACCAUUUCCCUUUGAGGCACUGUUACUUGUUCUCCCACCAUUCACUAUGAUAGUUGUUCUACAUGUAUGCUAAGUAUUUGUAGUCUAAUGCGUACUUACCCUUUUGAUUGUUCAGGGAAUUUGGCAUCUUACAUAGUUCCAGCUGCUACAGUUGGAGCAAUGGGUUAUUGCUACAUGUGGUGGAAGGCAAGAUUUUGGAUACCAAUAAGCCGAAUAAAGUCAUUGAGAUUGAAAUUCAAUUUUAUGAUAGUGUUUGUUGCAUUAAUUGCCUUUACGUUGUUCUUUCAUUUACUUGGGCUUUUCCUAAUAACACAAUUAACUUUUUUAUGUGCUAUGUAAAUAAUGGCCAAUAUCUAUUUGAUUUUAUGCUUACCCUCAAUCAACUCACAGUACCGUAUCCUGUUUGGCUUGACAUGUCUUUUUCAUCAUAACUUGUAGAGUUAACGAACAAGAAAAGAAACAGGAAAAUGAAUUUCAGAAGCCUCUGCAAACCCUACAGUACUAAUAUACGGCUAUUAUCAAUUGCUCUUUUUCAUUUCCAGGUUACAUGAAACCUCUAGUGUGGCUGGAUGAGUUGUUCAUCCUCUGGUGAAGUUUCUCCGACAAAUAUGUAAAUUGAUUGAAAAAAAAAAAGAAGUGCAUGCAGAAGAAAUAAAAACCUCAUCGUAUAAAAGAAAAAAAGCUACACGGACUAUUUCAUAACUGUAAUUGUGGGUUCAAAAUUACGGACUCAUUGAAGUCUUAUAUCCAAUGUCCUGCUUCUCUUACUUUCUUCUUGUUUAAGUCUGCUUUAUACCGUGUUUUUGGAUACAUCCAGCUACGUUAAUUUUACUUCUUAGAUUAAAAUUGUUGAGCUCCAGAUCUUCUAGGCGAUCAUUAAGCUGAAAUUGGUUUUAAAUCAUGGGAAUAUAACUUUAGAUGUUAUGGGAAUAUAACUUUAGAUGUUAUCUCUUUUCUUUUUUUUCCCUGCUACUUAAGUUUACCUUGUAUUGGAACUUAAUAUGUUUUUUUUUUUUUUUUUGAGAGAAAUGGAACUUAAUAUGUUGAUACACCUGUAGAUGUGUUAUGUAAUUUUUUUAAUUUAAUUUUGCUUUAACAUUCUUCUUAUGCAGGGGUGGUCUUUCUCUGAUGUCAUGUUUGUUACAAAACGCAACAUGGCUAAUGCUGUUGCUAAUGUAUCAAAACAACUGGAGCAAGUAUCGGCAGCCCUAGCCGUAUGCUCAAACUCUCAUCACUCUUAUUUCCUAUUUAAGUUUCCUCCAUGCUGUAAGUAACUUUGUGAUCUGUUUUUCAUUUCAGGCAACAAAAAGACAUCUGACUCAACGACUUGAAAACGUGGAUGGGAAACUUGAUGAACAGAGGGAGAUUUCUAAAAGCAUUAUGAAUGAGGUCGGUCUGAGAUAAGAUAUUUCUUGCUUGGAGUUGAUGGACUAUGUAUUUUAUUUAGUUCUUUUCAACAUGAGAUUUUUCAGGGCUUAUUUUCUUUUUUUAAAAAAAACUUUUCAGCUUAAUUCAUUAUAUUAAAUGGUGUCAAGUUUUUCUUUGUGAUACAAUUAUCAUUGUUUGGAAUUAAGUUGAUCAAUGGACUUAAAUAAGAUUAGAAGUUCUUUUUUGGUCAAAAUUAAAUAGCAGCCUGCAGUUGCAGUUUGCAAAUCUUGGAAUGCAACUGCAUAUGGAACUCUAAUCAUAUCUUCAUGUCCAUGUCAUGUGGGACCCUUUUUUUUUUUUUUUAACUUCAACCACUACUUAACCUUGAUUUGAAGGUUACAUCUGUUUGCUUCUAACUGGCAGCCAUUUGAACAUGAUUUUUCAUGUCUGCAUUAUAUAGUUGAACAACAAAGAUAGGUACCUGUGUUACUGUGUAUAGUCGGAUACUGUUAUUUGUUAAAAUCUCCUUAAUCGAUUUUGAGUUGGUGCAUCAUUGUGAUUAGUUAGUAUUUAUGCUAGACGCAUUUUAUUGAUGCAGGUCAAUGAAGUUAGGACUGACCUUUCCCAAAUCGGAUUUGAUAUUGAGUCGAUCCAAAAAAUGGUUGCUGGACUGGUGAGUCUAGAAAUUCACUUUUCUCCUUAGUACUCGCAAAGCUCUAACUGAUGCUAUAUUUAGCUGAUCGAGUUUAUGCAUUGUUGACAGGAAGGAAAGAUCGGAUUGCUUGAAAAUAAACAGGUUUUGGAAAUACUCGGUUAUUGGUUUAUGCUACAUGAAUAUUCACAACAUUUCCAUUUAACCAUGUUACUUCUCUUUGUAUUGCUCAGGAUAUAUCUAAUGCGGGUAUAUGGUACCUUUGCCAAGUUGCUGGGGGUAUAAAGGAUGGGAUUAAUGCUAAAUUUUUUCAGGUGGGAGGCUGUUUAGGUCAUGCUUUCUGAUCAUUUUGUGUGCGGCAUAUAGUUGUUCUCUCUUUUCUGUGCCUUGAUCUAAUGAAAUUGAAUCUUAAUUGCUUGGUGCAUGUAAGCACACUGGUAUUAGAAAGACAUUUCUUCUAAAAAUUAAGAAAACAACCAUGAGUUGCUCAUUGAGAGGUUUUGAUAAUUCGGAAAGCCCUUUUUGAUUGUCGUUAUCUGAAUCACCUGUUGCUUUUGUUGGACCCGAUUUGCAGAAGCAUUAAGCACUGCACUAUUUUAUCAUAUGUCAUUGUACAUAAUGGUUAUGAGUUGUUUAUCCACCUGUUAAACUAAGUGAAAGCUGCUAAUUGUAACAUAUUCUUUCUCUAUAAUUUCAUUCAUGCUUGAAUUCUUCAUAACUAUUUAUUUCAUCAACAGGAGGCUAAUGAAAAACUUAAAUUAUCACAUUCAUUUACUCCAUCUGAGGACAAUACGCUCAAGGUACGUUACGUUUCUUUCAGCCAUUUGGUUGAUAUUCUUUCCCUUGAUCUCAUUUUUAUAUUCCUGCUUUUUUGUGUAUUUUUCAGGGACUACAAUUUCUUGCUGAUAAUAACAUUACAGCAGGAGAGACGGCAGAUUUAAAGGCAGAUACUGCGGCAAAGACGGUUCUUGAGAAACCGACGAAAGGCAGUUUCGUUAAAAGUAAUGCAAUUCACAGGUCAUACACGGGUAAUUUCUCUGUACGAAAGGAAGGCCUUGCUCUGUGAUCACAUACACUCAGCAAUCUUUUGUUGUAACGAUUUGUAUAUCUUCAUUGAUGACCAUCGCUUAUUUGUGUUGUUUUCAAGGUUUGCCAGAAUGAGUUAGUGCAAACCUUACCUUUCUCAUGAUUAUUUUUUCUCUAUUUACACCGCCUCUCAUGUGCCAAAGUGUCAAACGUGUGGUUAAAAAUAAAUAUGUUGAUACGUGGCUUCUUUUGUUCUUCUUUAUAAGAGUGGUAGUUCAGUUUGCAGUGUGCAGAUUUUUUGUUUUCGUGGCAGAGGUUGCAUCUGCUUGGUGUUGUGCGAUUCUCGCAUACUACACUCUGUUGUAGCAGCAGGACCUACUUUGUCAGAAAGAGCCAAAUGAUAAAAGUAUCUGAUUAUAGCAGCUAAAUGUGCUUAUACAGACAAAGUAAGCCCGUAACAAUAUAUUAAUUUGCCAAAUUACAUCUCUAUAGUGAAAUAGAAAGNUAAAAAAAAAUAUAUAUAUAUAUAUAUAUAUAUAUAUAUAUAUAUAUACAUUUAUUUUUUAACUAUAUUUUAAUCUUACACCGAGAAUAUUCGAAUUUCUCGUCUCAGCCAAGAGCGACAUGAGUGAUCACACUCCUAACACAAAUCUCUCCCAACACUCGAAACCCCCGCUCCUUGAAACUCCUACUCCACCGUCCUCCUCCUCCUCCUCUACCCCUCUCCAAAUCCCCGCCACAAUCUCAUCCAAGCUCCCCGGGAAGCCCUCCGCCGCCACCGGCGAGGUGGCGGCGACGGCGUCGAGGAUCUCCUGCAGGCCGACGAUGCGGCGGCUGACGGCCCUCCGCAGGUCCCUAACGGCCGGGUAGACGCCGGGGACGGCGUCGAGGCGGAGGAGCAGCGCCAUCAAACCCUCGCUCACCCGCAGCCGCUCCCGCUCGUCGCGCCGCACGGCGUCCACCGUCUCCUGCCGCUGGAUCAGCCGCUCGAACCGCCCCGCCUCCGAAUCCACGGCCCGGAUCGUCCCCACGAGGGACCGAACCAGGUGGCCGCGGUAGGCCGCUUGGAUCUUGGCUGCUGCGGCGGCGGAGGCGACGGAGGCGACGGAGGGAGGGAGGUGGACGGGGAUCCGAGCUAGGGUUUCGUUGUCGGAGGGUGAGUCGAUGGGCACGGGGAUGGUUUUGGGAGAAUGCGGAGGAGGGUUCUGAUCAUCGGACGCGAAGUAGAAGGAGGCGGAGGAGUAGUAGUAGUAGCAGCAGCCCUGGUGGAAAGAGGAGUUCGUACUCAUAGCGGGAAGGAGAGAGGAGAGGAGGAGAGGAAAGGAAAAGAGAGAGCGCUGAUUUGAUUUAACUGGCUUUGGGUGGGGGUUUUUAAUUAUUCACCGAGGAUAUGAAUUUUGAUGAUGACAUUAGCCAUUGAGAAGGCUCUAGCCUCUUCCAAGCUUUUGCCUCUUCAUCAUCCCUUUAUCCGCCGUAUCUUUUAGCAUUACGGCCUAUACGGUGAUUAACUACGGUAUCAGCCAAAUUUACCUCUUUUUUCUGAAUUUCUUUUUUCUCUUACGUAUGUUGACGCUUAAUGAUUGGAUGCUUCUUUGGUCGCACUUUUUUACUAUUAUUAUUACGAGGAAAACUCAGUACUACUGCAAAACAUCUCCAGCUGUCUAAUUUUGUUUGCCACGAUACCAGUUUACGUCUCAAAAUUUCACCCGUUUGACCAUUUGGCAUAGUAAAUUACUAUGGAUUGGCUGCAUCUGCACUUAAUUUCAUCUCUACUCUAUUUUUAGUUCCUUUUUUUAUAUCAUUCUCGGUUACUUAAUAAAAAUUUAUAGUAUCUGAGUCAUAGAUAAUGUCUUCAAAUCAUUGUUAGGAAUAAAAAAAGUGAUUUGAAUAAAAAAAAAUUGUCUUUUUGGUAGAAUCUAUCAUUCAAUCAAAUUAUGGACUUUUUUUUUUUAUUAUUGAACUAUUAAUUAACGAAGAAUCAAAAAGAAAAAAUUAGUUGACAAGUACACCAUUACUCUGUUUUACGAAUGGUAAGCUACUUCAAGUGGGUGGCCCCACCAAUUGAAGACACGGGACGUCCCCAACUGGAGCCUCGCUCUAGGAUCCAUGUGUCGGUCGCGAUCUCUUAUCCCCUCCCAAAAGAGGAGCCGAGGAGGAGCAGAGGAGAGGAGAGGCGAUGAAGGAGCGGAGGGUCUACACCAUCCUCGGCCUCCUCCUCCUCCUCACCUUCCUCUACCUCAACUACUCCUCCUCCUCCACCGCGGGGUUCGCGAUCAAGAUCCCGAUCCCAUGGCUCCAGCCUCGGAUGGGGUUCAUCGGCCGCAACGCCACGCGCUUCGUCGACAUCUCCUCGGGCUCCCCUCUCUACGUCAACGGGUGGAACUCCUACUGGCUCCUCUCCUCCGCCUCCCGCGACUCCGUCUCCGACAUGCUCCGCCGCGGCCGCGCCAUGGGCAUGGCCGUGUGCCGCACCUGGGCCUUCAGCGACGGCGGGCCCGGCGCACUCCAGAUCUCCCCCGGACGAUUCGAGGAGCGCGUGUUCGAGGUAGUUUGUUGCAAACCCUGGCCUUUUGAUCCGAAAUUAGUGAUGGGUGUUGUGUCUCUUUGGUCGUUAUGUGGUGAUCUGUUGUAAAUUUGAUAUCUUUGUCAGAAAUGUGCGCGUUUUUAUGUAGUGUUAGGUCUCUCAGUGAUGCUUUUACUUUUUCAAAUCGCGUGUUAGCUUUUGAUGCAGAAUUAAUGACGGGUUUUGCCCUUGCUUCGGUUUUUAUCUGAUAAUUUGGUACAUCAAAAUGUCUAAAUUUUGGGUUUUGAAUCAGAAGCAUAAUGUGGCAAAGGAGUGAUUUUGGUUCUCUUGUACUCCAUUUUGGAUUCAGGCAUUAGAUUUUGUGAUCUAUGAAGCAAGGAGGAACGGAAUAAGGCUGAUUCUCAGCCUUGUAAAUAAUCUUAAUGCAUUUGGAGGGAAGGCUCAGUAUGUUAGAUGGGCACAAGAAGCUGGGGAGAAUGUAACGAUCUCAACAGAUUCAUUUUUCUCAAAUCCAACCAUAAAGGGCUACUACAAAAAUUACGUGAAGGUAUGAUGGAAACCUAUGUUUUAUCUAAAUAAAUAGUUUGCAAUGUAAUUCUGAUGGAUUAUUGUUCUUAAUUGGAUUCAAACAUUUCAGUUUGUUAUAUUGCAACCAUUACUGGUGUAAAAGUGUGAUUUUUCUAUCGUCAUGUAGCAAGUAUAGAGUAUCUGGCUGAAUCAGCGCUAUUGUGCGUUACAGCAUAUAAUAUGUACUGUAGAUUGUAACUCUUGAAUGUCACAUGGUUGUAUUGGAUCACAAAUUGCCAUGGUAUUGUCUAUUUCUAUAGACUAAAUAUCGGGAAAUCAUUUGUACAGGUUACCUUUAAUAGAUAGGUAGUUACAUAAAACACAUAAAUCCCUAUGUGUUUAGAAAGGUAAAGUCUUUCGUUUGUGAAUUAGCCUUUUCAAUACCAUCUCUCUUUCAGCUGUUUCAACGGUUAAACGCCAUCUCAAGUUCUCAUCCAUUUAUCACUAUUCUACUAUCAUAAUUCGGAAUACGCGUUAAAGAAUUGCCUUGAACUAGGAACAUUAGUUUGAGUAAAGCUUUUGUAGAAGUGCUAUUUGAGUAAAGCUUUUCAAGAAAGCACUAGUUGUCCUUUCUUUAGUAGUCCCUAACUGUUACUGCUGUAGCUGAAGCAUAUGUUAACUUUUGCUUUUUAGGGCCUACGAGCUCAUUUCUAUGCUCACAUUAUUUGCAAAUGUCUAGGGCAGUACAUCUCCAAAGGCAUAUGUAUGAUGAUAGGCCUUGAGCACAAAACCGUCCUUGUAAUGAUGGUUCAUUGUCAUUUGAUUUAAGAUGUUUUGCAUAUAAUGCCAUAUAUUUUGAAUAAUAUCAUCUAAAACUGUCACCUAUUUCUAGUGUGUCCAUGUAAUGCUCGAUAGUUUGCUUCUUGUUUGAUCUAUAUCUUUCUACAAUGCAUCGAUCUUCCAGGCAAUAUUAACUAGAAGAAAUUCUUACAGUGGAAUCAAAUAUUCUGAUGAACCUGCCAUAUUUGCUUGGGAGCUCAUGAAUGAGCCUCGAUGUGUAUCCAAUUCAUCUGGCCCUCUUCUUCAGGUAACAUAGUAGUCUAUAUAUAUAUAUUUUUUCAGUUAGAAAAAGAAGUUGACUCCUUAAUAUGUGGUGAGAAUUUAAUCAUUUAUUUAUCAGGAAUUCAGAAACAGCUAUCAAAACUUUCUUUGUGGUGAAAUGCCUAAUUUUCAAAUUACUCUUCUUCAACAGGCUUGGAUUGCUGAAAUGUCUUCUUACAUCAAGAGCUUGGAUAAGAAGCACCUUGUCACAAUUGGGCUUGAAGGAUUUUAUGGGCCUCGAAGAAGCGAUAAACUGGGGGUCAACCCUGGUACAUGGGCAGCUUCACUCUGCUCAGAUUUUAUACAGAACUCAGCAGUGGAGCACAUUGACUUCGCUUCAGUACAUGCAUAUCCCGAUAGCUGGUUGGUAUUUUCGAAACUUGUAUUUCAGCAUCGUGCUUUUUCCUAAAGUUUGGUUGAACUUCUAACAUAAGCUACUUUUUGUGGGCACUUACAUAUACCACUGCACUGCAAUUUCAUCUAUUUACAUAUGUACCCUGUGAAAUCUGAAUUUUCGCAUAUACUCCUACAUGAAGUUUUCGAAGGGUGUAUGUUAAAAUUCAGAGUUGGCAGGCAAUUUGUAGAUAGAUAAGUUUGUAGGAAUGCGUCUUGUUUCUAAUUUCUGAUGACCAAGAAAUUGUAAAUUUUGCUUGUGUAUUAGGAUCCCGAAGGCAAGCCUGGAAGAGAAAAUUAAAUAUCUUUCCAGUUGGGUGGAUUCCCAUAUUAAUGACAGCGAAAAUAUUUUGAGAAAACCAGUACUAUUCUCAGAGAUUGGCUCCCACAUAAAUGAAAAGAGAAAUGGGACAUAUGAUAGAGAUAUUCUGCUAAAAACUGUAUAUGAUAAAAUCUACGAAUCAGCUGAGAAAGAGCAAGCAGGGGCGGGUGCUCUUAUUUGGCAAUUGAUGGUUGAAGGAAUGCAAAGGUAUGGUGACAACUUUUCACUCAUAGCACGGGAGCACCCGUCCACACAUAAUUUGAUAGUACAGCAGUCCUGCCGAUUAGCUAAGUUAUUAACAAGAGGAGAAGCAAAUAGAACAGCUGAUUGGCAGUGUUCUAAACUACCAUGAUUUUACUCUUGGAUUUAGUACAUAGGAUUCUACAUGUUUACAUUCAUCCAAAUGUCGAUAAAGUACGUCAUUGCAAAUUCUGGAUUGUUUUAUCUAACACGAGGGAGGUACUUUGGUAUUAUUGUAUGCUGCACUGCAUAGUCUUUGGAUAAAAUGAAGUUGUAGCAACAAGCAAAAGCUGUUACAUGAAAAGACUGAUGAACAGCAGCCGCACUUUUGGUUCUUCAGCAAAGGCCAAAUUUAUUUUCAUACUUUCGAUUCUUUAUGUAUUGGUAAAUAUGAUGAUUGAUUCGUCUCGAACAAUGAGGUUGCUUCUUCAGAGUUUUUAUGCCUCGUUUGUGUUACACUUUGAUUUUUCCUUCUUCCCCCAACCUUUUAGGCUAAAAUUUUAUGCAAUAGAGUAUUCCGGCAGAUGGGCUUUUCUCUUAUUUUGGUUGUUUUGGUUUGCUUACGGACUCUUCUAAACUAAACAAGGCCUUUCUUUGGUAUUUGUCGCAUUUAGGAUCUGUGUAAAGCCUGUUAUAAGGUGCUGUGUUGUUUAUUGGAAUCAAUGUCCAGACAGUGCUAUUGCAAGAAUAUUUAUAUGCACCCCAGCAGGUUUGUCUUCUUUUUUUUUUUUAAAAAAAAAAAGCAGAGUUUCUGUUUUUGAGACUUGCCAAAUUAAUUUUUCCUUUCUUCUGCGACAAAAAGCUUCAGAUUUUUUUUUUCUUAGCAAACAAAGCUAUUGUCAAAGAGGUAACAGCACACUUUCUCUCUCUCUCUCUCUCUCUCUCUGAACCAAUUAUCAACUCUGCCAUCCCGAUGGAUUGGAAAAUAGAACUCCAUUGUGUAAUUGAUGAGUUUGUAUUGUAUAUAUAGCAUCUGUCUUAGUUGUUUAUACAUUGCUUUCCUUCUCUGAAUUGACACUCAUACAAAUGAGCAGGUCCUAGAUCAGACAGGGCAUUAUCGUAAUAAUGAGAUACUUUAGUGGCUUUUAUACAGGCUCGCACCCAUAUAUUAUUCCAACAAGGCAGAGAAAGUCAACAGGUGACCUUUCCAACCUCCAUUCUCGGGCGCAAUGUGAGCCGCAUAAUUCUUUAAUACGCUAUCAAUGUGACACAAUCUGCUAGAAAUAUACAUAAUAAACUUAUGAAGCUACCCUUCCACAUUAAAAUUCUCUAGGGUUCCAAUUCUCAAGGCAUCUAAACACGGCUCUUUGAACCCUCCUAAAGUCAAAACCAACGGCUGGAAAACAUAGUCCUUAGAAAAUUUAAUUCGAUCAUAAUAGUAAAAAAUUGUGAAUAAUAUUUUAGACCUAAACCUUAUAUAUUAAGCGAAUAAUCCAACGAACGACUUUGUUUUCGUGCGGCGUAUGUUAUGGACCAUAUCACAAACUGCAAGGUUGAUCGGUCAACGUUGUCACAAAAUGUAGUGGAAACGGCCCCCCUUUCUUUUAAGUUAAAGAGCUCUUUAAAGUUAAGAAAAGUUGGGGAAAAUGGUGAAUAUGUCAAUAAUUACGUUGGUUUGGUAGGAGCUUAAAUUGUCAACAUUAAUGAACAAAGCCAUUUGAGGGGAAAAAGAAAUAGAAAAUUUAAUAAUUUUCUUUUUUUUUAAAAAAAAUGUACAUGAGCGAUAAUAGAGCAUAUAUACAAUUCAAAGUUUAUGUGCUGUUUUUGGUUUUUGACAUGAUUGCAUUCAACAUCAAUUCAUGAAUCGUACAUUUUCUGCACCUAGCUUGGAGCUAUAGCAUUAUGCAUGUCAACAUACAAAGAUAAAAAGAUGAGAAAACAAAUUAAGGAUGAAAAGAGUUAAUUAUAAGGAUCUUAACCACGCUAAUAUUAGUACAUUGAUCUGCCUCUAGUUUCCAAAGUCAGGCUCCUUACAUCUUUCUUUGCAACAUUUUGAAAUAAACACCAUCUCUAUUAGUGGACUUAAGUAAACAUUUUUACCCAUAAAUAGGUCAGAGAAAAAAAAAACAAGCAGAAACACAGGUAAAAGAAAAGAAAAGAAAAGAAAAUGCCUGGCUUUUCCCGUGUAUGCCGUUCUUUUGCCGAUUAAUUCGUGUUCACCGAAACACCAUAUAAAUCUUUAGUAUGAUUUUGUUGUGAAAGAGAAGUACGAAGAUGAUGAUCACCGAACGGUGUCGCCGCCGCCGCUGCCGCCCCCGCCGCCGCCGAACGAGUAUAAAUGGCCAUAUAAGACCUUAGAUUGAAUUUUUCUGCAGGAUGUAGCAGCAAACUCCACCUUCAUGUUGUGUGGUGAGAGAGGAGAGGGGAGGAGGUGUAGAUAAGGAGAGAGAAGAGGAGGAACUAAAGAGUCUUUUUCUGCUUGAUGUAAUAGGGAGAGGAGGUAGUUGAACAUACAUAUAUAUUUAUAUUUACUCUAUUAAACACAUAUACGAAACAACUCAUGUAGUAUUAAUUAAACAAAAAGGCUAAGUUCCCAAGAAGAUGAGCACGUAUAAGACUAUAGUACUGGGAAUAUGUAUGAUCAGCUAAUCACCAACCGCUAAAUUGCCUGGGCAAUUGCUCUCAUUGCAAAUCACCCAAUGUGCGCCUGAGAACCUACUUACUUGAUCCAAAUAAACAAAUAAAUAAAUAAAUAAAUAAUUAUAGCCAAAUUACAUAAAAACCAACCAAUUUGCAUGAAACAACAAUGACCUUACUUGCUAACCUCGCGCCUGUGUAUCUCAAAGCUCAGAGCCGCUACUCAGUUCGAGGAGAAAGUCGAUCGUAUAACAGUUAUAUUGCACCAUCUAUAUCUAACUAAUUUUAUUUUUUUUUAAAAAAAAAUUAAUAAAAAUAAUUUUAAAAAAAAUUAUGAUAGAAUGAAUAAAUUUAAAAAAAAUAAUUUAAUUAAAUGGAGACACUACUACGUGUGGACCUGUCACCUUUUCUUUUUUUUUUUUCUCCCGACAACAUCGGCGGCGCACACUCGCACCCGCACGUGUUUCCGCAAUCGCGUUCACACCUUCGCCUCGGAAUGGAGCUGGGAACUGCUGACGUGGCAUAUCAUUCUUGGUUUGCAAAAUUUAAAAGAAAGCUUAGCCUAAUUGUAUAAAUCUGCAGUUACAUUUUAGGUCAUCUGUUCUUUACCACCUUCUGUAUCAAAAAUCUUUGUCAGUAUUUUAAGAAAAUUCAAAAAAUUGAAGGAAUUGAUAAGUUGAAAACCUUUAUUGAGCCGCGUUGGUGUAUUUUAUUUGCAACUCACAAAUAAAUUAAAAAUUAGGUUAAAAAGAAAAUCUCCGAUUUUGUUAAUACUUAUCCAAAACUGACAGUUUACCAAAUAAUUUUUCUCAAUUUUCAAAAUUCUACUAUGCAUUUCUAACUCUAUCUGUCAAUUUACUUUCAUAAAAUUUUAUAGCUAACUUCAACAAUUACCCUAAAUUUUUUAAUGUUUCUAAAAUAAUAGCAAAGCGCAAACUCAACCAAAAAAUAGGUAAUUGAGACAGCACAGCAGGUUAGGUGCUGAAGAGGUUUUUUAGGGUUAGUUUAGCAAGGAUACUUUAAACCACACCUACCUGGCACACUUACCUUGAACUCCGUGUACAAUCGCACUCUGCUGAAUAAUAGUGAAUUUAUCCUGCGCACGAGGAUUACGGAUAGAAACCUUUUCACACCAAAUUGAGGUGACCAAUCAUGUUCACCAAUACCAAACUUUACCCCACCACUAAUUCUAUCCUAAUAAAUUAUGGGCAUAAUCCGUAGAAAACUCACUCAGUUUUGCCGAAUUUGAUGUAUUUAAUCAAAAGGAAAUCAUAAUGAGUUUAGUAAGUUGCCAAAAGCCAGUAAGGGUAUUUAAUUACUUCAUAAGCUAGCAGGUAUCAAGUAGGUUUUGUCCAACUUACUAUUACAAAUAAUCGCCUUCCCGCUCUGAUGUUACCAUUCAAGAACAGCAUAACAAACACAUACACAAUAUUUAACAAAUAGCCGUGUCGAAAAACUGACCACAGAACUACUCAGUUCAUCAUUCAUCAAGCCAACCAGAUGUGCCCUGCUGAUGCUGCCACGGGCCUGGCGCAAAGCCCGCGGAGCCAAAAGUUUCGAAAUUCAGCAGCUGAUCCGAGCCCAGAUGGCCGCCGAAUUGGUCCCCGUUGUCGCUUCUCGCUGGAGACGAAAUGCUCAUAUCAGAGAGCUCAUCAAACUCCCCGCACACAGGGAUCAUCAUCUCAUCAGAUAUUGUUUCAUUCUUUUCAGCGGAUUUACAGGGAAUUUCGGCCCUAAUUUCAUUUUCUUCACGAAGAGCAUGUGUAUCGUUGUAUUCUUCUUCGUUAAGUUGUUCCUCUCUUUGCAUAAUCCAAUAUUUAGAGAAGUUGGGCUUGUCAGAGAGGUGGCCAUGCCUCGAAGCAAUCUCCACAUGCCUCAAGGUCCAGUCAGGACGGCUCCAUAGAGAAAGCGGGGGAGUCUUCAAAUUCCACUGUUCCAUUUGCUUUUGAUUGUUGUCCACUGACCCGGGCAAGUAAAAAGCCUACACCACAACAGGAUGAGAUGGUCAAUAGAGUCCUAGUCAUUUCACCACAUAGCAAUUUAGAUCCUGAAUUCCUAUCUCUUGCAAUAGCAUCCCUUAUGCCACUAGCCAUGCAAAGCCUCUGCCGCAUAUUAUUUGCUCCGCAUGCAUCAUCUUUGCUGUAAAGACACUAUUUUAUCCCUUUUUACUAUUAAAUGAUUUUCAAGUUUUAGUACGUCAAGGAUGCAAUUGCAAAAUAUUUAAGUGCGUUCAGGACUUAAUUGUGUAAGUGAAAAAUUCAAGGACUAAUCUACAAUAUCAGGAAAAUAAAAAAAAAAGAAAACCAUAGCAUGAAGAAACUUUAUAAGUUUUCUCGACUGUACUACCUUCCCAGAAAGCAUUUCUGUGUCCUGCCAGAUUAGAUCGUAUGGUUGAUCUUUCUCGUCUAAUCUGUGAUUACCGAGAAAAUUUAGAAAGGGCAACAAAGAAAAUUUGGAUUAAUCUUGACUUCAAACUUGCAUUCCGUAAUUAGAAAUAACCGUAAGAAAACUUUCUACCUCUGAGUCUCUUUGGGAACAAUAAGAAUGAGGAGCUUUGGCUUAAAUGUAAGAGCUUUGUUAAUGAACUCAUUGGCAAGACAACCUUUGAGACCAAAAGGAGGAUUUAGCCCCAUUAUCUAUCAGCGCAAGCCAUGAACAAGAAGAAAAGUAAAGUAGCUUAGAAUGUAUCCAGUACAUUUGAAAAAAUAAGAACAAAAUAAAUAAAUAACCUAAUAUGAAAAACAUCUUGUUCUUACCAAUUGGGAUCCAGUAGGUAAUUCAUCUGGCUGCACUGUCAUCCAAUCUCUUCUUUCAAAGUUAAAGUGGUUCUACCAAACAAAAGUCAUUUAUCAUCUCCAAAAUUACUUGUUGAUAGAAAGUAAAGCUUGAAAAACUCUCAAGGUUCAAUUUAGCACAAGCUCCAAAAUUUGAACACCAGAAAAAAGCCCCGUAACUUACAUUGCUGAAAUUGCUAAGGGUGUGUUUGGUUCCACGUAAAACUAUGAAAACAAAUUUUCGGUGGAAAAAAAAUUUUCGGAGGAAAAUAAAUUUUACACUCUCUAGUGUUUGGUUUGUAGGAAAAAAAGUAAUUUUCCGUUACGAUUGUUUGGUUGAAAGAAAAAAAAAAGUUAUAAAUAGACAACUAUUAUAUAUUUUUUUUCUUAUUCUAUAUAUUAUAUAUUAUUGAUAUAUAAUACUUAUCAUAUUACAUAUAUUAGUAUUAUAAUUUAUAUUUGUAAAUAAAACAUAUUUAAAAUAUAUUACACAAUAAUUAAGUAUGUAAUAUAAUAUAUAACAGUACAUAUUUAAUAGUAUAAAUAAAUUACUAUAUAUUUAUAAAUAAUAUCUAUAAAUAAAAUAUUAUAUAAUAGUAUAUUUAUAUUAAAAAUAAAAUACUAUUUUUUUUAAAAAUAUAUAUAUAUAUAUAAAAGAAAAGAGUAGGGGAGCUCGCAGUCCAUGAGGUGGAAUGUACCUCGUGAACCGCGUGUGCCCACUGGCCCCCAAGGCCACUAUUUUCCCAGCGGGUUUUCGUUUUCCGCACUGUUAGAGUGGAAAACGAAAACAUCUUUUUUUCUCAGAAUCUGUAAACAAAAUUUUCCGAGAAAAUAUUUUUACGAGCAAACAAACACCGGAAUUCGACUUUUCAACCGAAAAAAAAAUUUCGGGGUAGUUUUAAAUGGAACCAAACACACCCUAAUCGUGUCCGUGCAUUAGUUUAAUAUCACAAAUAUUUGUGGUCUGAUCUAUUAAUACUUUGGCACUAAGCUACUUUGCUUGCAACAGCGACCAGCAAUAACAUCCCUUCUAUUAUAAAAAAGCAAGUUUUGACUCAGAAAAAUGCUAAAUAUCUGACAGUAAAUUUCCUUACUUGAAAGGAAAAAAAGAAAAACGACGUAAAUAACAUCUCUAAAUUAGGAGAAGUUUAAGAAACAAAACAAAACGGGAUAAGAGAGACUAUUCAAGUAAACAAUAUAUUUCAGAAGCACUAUCACUUAGCUAAUAAAUUGCUCAAACUAACAAGUCCUGGCAAGUAAAUUUCAACAUAAGAAAUUGUCUUCCACCUAAAAAAAAUCAUUAUUACUAAAGAACUUAUUUUGUUUUAUACUUUAUUUCCUCUGAGAUCAUUUUGAGAUGUAAAACAUGAUAAUGCUACGAAUAAUGGAAUAAUACCUUUGAUGGCAUGAUAUCAUAAUUUUUGAAGAAGCAUUCCUUCCCAGCAGCCUCAAGUUUUUCUUUCAUCAGCAUACUAAAAUCAUUCGCGCCACAGCAGAAGUCAACCACCUGAAGGAAAAAAAAACAUAAUUAGCAAGUCACACUGCAGAUAAAGGGGCUUCAAGAAUGAUAUUAUAAAGGGGCUUCAAGCAUGAUAUUAGUCGUCAUGCUUGAACAGUACUGACAGUCAUCUUGACAACCAAUACAUACCUCAUGGGCCCCACAAUUUCACCUAAGCUAUGCAUGCAGUAAACUCGUGACUCGUAAUUGUUACAAUAAGAUCCAAACAAAAAUAAAGCUCUUAGUUCACAAUAAAUGUUAAGAAAAAUAAUUAGCAAGUCACACUGCAGAUAAAGGGGCUUCAAGCAUGAUAUUAGUCGUCAUGCUUGAACAGUAGUGACAGUCAUCUUGACAACCAAUACAUACCUCAUGGGCCCCACUAUUUCACCUAAGCUAUGCAUGCAGUAAACUCGUGACUUGUAAUUGUUACAAUAAGAUCCAAACAAAAAUAAAGCUCUUUGUUCACAAUAAAUGUUAAAACAAAUAAAUUGAAGUUCAAUGAAAAAGCAUUUUAACGGUAUGAUUAUGUUUCUGAAAUAUAUUUAUUCCAGCUGCAUAUUCAAACUACUUUGAAUGACUUAUAGCAAGUUGCAUCCACAUAGAUUAGAACAACUUGGUGGAAUGCAGGAAAACUUAAUGGCUGGUAUAGCAAUGUGGUAAUGUUUAGUUUCUUAAUUCUUAAUUUAUUAUAAGGAGGUUAUUUGCCCAAAACCAGAGAGAAGGAUCUCCUUCCAUGGAAGUAGAUAUAUGUUUAUUAGAAGAUGAUCAAUCCUACAAAUUUUUUCUACUGCCAAUAAAAAGCCCAAGCAAUAAGCAUAAAAAAUAAGCAAGGUAACAAAAAGAAGUUUUACAAACAGUACCAUGUCACUGUUUUGCACGUAGCACUGAAGCUUAUCAGCAAUCUGCAUUUGAAAUUCAAAAAACAAAAAAAAAAACCUCACAAGUAUGACCAACAGCUAAGAAGUAAUCUAUUAAUAAAAGUGUAAAAAUCACGGACAUCAUAAACAAUGAAAAAUAGAUUCCAACACAUUAUAGGAAAAACAGGCAACAGUUUGAACAAAUAUCGAGGGUCGAAAAGUAGAUCAGGAUAGAAGUCAUCUCUAUGUUUCACAAAAGAUUAUAUUACACAGAGUAUAAAAUUCAUUUAUUGUAGAAAAGCAAAUGUGAUACAAAAACUCCUCACGUUCAUUACAAAUAUUAAAUGGUGUUUGAAAACGUAAACAGAACUUCAUGACCUGAAUCUGACCUGUUCAGAGAAGUGUUAAAAUGAUGCUUAGAGGCAAAAGGAACAAGAAAAAAAGACGUUUAUUUCCUAAAAAUUUGAAAUCAGAUAGUGAAAUCAUUCAAUUUGGUAGGACUACUUCCAAACACGUUAAAUAAACCUAUUUAUGUGAGCAAUAGCAUUUGUAUUAUUAUCCAACAAGGAAACCAUUGGAAGCUUUCCAAUGGCUAGAUUUACUGGAACAUCUACAAAAUAACAUUAGCCACAGAGGGAAAAACAUAAUUGCUUUCCAGGAUCCAUUCUUGCUUGAGUAAACCAAAGUUGUAAUAACUAAGAAACAUAACUAUAGCAAAAUGGCUCUCACUGAUUUCACAGUAAACACAAUUAUUUGCUUCAAUCAGGAUGUAAUAGUCCGGCCAAAACAAUAACCUGCCAAGCCAGUAGCUACUAAGUUCUAUUACCGUACUAGUUCAGCUGAAAACUAACCAGUUGACGUGAACGCCAAUGACCACAAACCAUUAUAUAAUCAUAAUGACGAGGUUCCCUCAACUAUGUAAUUUCAAAUAUGGAAUCCACACGAGGAACUAAGAGCACAUGAGGGCCAACUUUGACAAAUUUCCAGAUCACAGAUGUGCCAACAUCAACAACUUUUAUUUGGAGCACAAACCUCAUUAAGCAUCUCCACUUUCGUGAAAUGCCGUCCAAAAGAAGUGUAGCGCAUGCCAUGCAUAAAAGGAGCAAGAUAAACAUGAAGUUUGUUCUGCAGUAAAUAGUUCCAAAGUAAAAAAGUUAUAUUGGGCUAAAGAAAAGGAUAGAAAAUUACUGCUAAUAUUAACGAGACCUAAUAAAAGUUCUCUCCAUGUUACAUCUGCUUGCUGAAUGCAAAUAUAUAUAUAUAUAUAUAUAUAUAUAUAUAUAUAUAUAUAUAUAUAUAUAUAUAUAUAUAUAUAUAUAUAUAUAUAUAUAUUAUAUAUAUAAANUGUGCGGCUAGGAUGAUAGUGAUCCCCGGUUAGGAUGAUAGUAGUCCCCUAGGGUUGAGUGGGUGGUUGGUUAGAUAGUAUGAUCUAAUGGAUAAAAAUGGUCAAAAAGGUAGAUCUAACAACCGAAAACUUAUGAGUAUAAAGGAGGCUACACUCAUAAGAGUAUAGUAGCCGGACUCUCUCUCUCUCUCUCUCUCUCUCUCUCUCUCUCUCUCUCUAUAUAUAUAUAUAUAGUCUUUAUCAGUUAUCAAAAUUAAGUAUCAGAGGCUAGCAAAAACAAUACCAUUUGUAAAUUGGUUUGUGAGGCUCAAGCUGGCUGUAUUAGUAUGAUUUUCAUUAAAAAAGAGAGAACGCUAAUGUGCGAGUAUUUUACCUAUAGCAUUUCGAGCAAUAGUUGUUGAAGGGAAUUAGAGAUUAUCAAAGAUCAACUGUUUUUCUCCUCAUAACUAUGCACUUAAAAAAUUG
rnacentral:lncRNA from 1 species